GAUCCACUCCUCUGGGCAAUGUGAGAUGUUACAAAUUCAACGGAAACAUAAUCAUCUACUUCUUCCUUAAAAACGUCAUCUUCUAAGUUCAUUCUUUUUGUUUUCUCUGAAUGAUUUUACUUUCUUUGAAUGAAAGGAGAUGGGAAGGAUGAGUUAGGGUUCAAGGGAGACAAAUUUUGUAAACAUAGCGUGAGAGUUAUCACGCCUAAACUUUUCUUUUUUCUUUUCUAUUAAAAAAAAAAGUAAUGCAAAAGAGGGUAACUAAGGUCCUUAUUAGUCAUUUUACAAAUGGACAAAUUUGUAAUUAAAACAUUCAUAAAAAGGUGGGUGUGAAGAUAAGAUAUUGGAGGUGGGAAUAACACAUCUCUAUUAUUAUUGUUAUAGUUUUGAUUAAUCAUACCCACUCAAAAUAAAUGUUUUUUGUUUUGUCGUUGAUUUUCCUUAAGCAGUACUGUUGGUAAUGGACAAAAGAGUUUAAGAGCAACGUAAUCAUAUCAAUGUAAGAUUACCAAACCAUAUAUAAAAUUAUGAAGGAAUGAUAAUAUGUGAUUUACAAAUCCCUCGAUGUUCUUUAAUUUAUGUGCAUUCUCCUAUAAUAAUAUAUAAGAGGAAAAGAAUGAUCUGUUGACAACUUGUUAAGGAUGAGCGAUUGACGGUUCUCACUACCAUUAUGGUAUUAAUUAACAAUUUUUUGAUCCAACGUUAUACUAUAAAGUAUAAUCAUCAACUAAAAUACAUUUUCACAUAGAAGAAACCUCCAUAUAUCAACAUCGCUGCCCUAGUCCAUGUCUACCAACAUACAUGCAACAUGUGGACUCUCUCUCUCUCUCUUCUCUCUCUCUCUCUCUCUCUCUCUCUCUCUCUCUCUCUCUCUCUCUCUCUCUCUCUCACACUCAUCAACAAAUUAGAAAAUAAAGAAAAUGGUUUAAGGGCACAUCCAAUUAGAUAACUGUCCUUAUUAAUCCCGAAAACUCUCAGGUCCCACGGGACCGGCGGCACUUGAAACUUUCUAUAUAGCAAUUAGCUAGUCCUUCCAGCUGAGUUUAAUCCUAAACAAUAUCAUGUUGACAUUAUAAUAAAAGGUAUUUAAUUAGAUUCUCUAAUGACCUACAAGUAAAGGCCAUGUAAGUUCGGCCAAAAUUUUCCAUGUUUCUGCAGCUUGAAUCUCAUGUGUAGAAAGAAUGGAAGUUGCAUGUGCUUAUAAGUAGUUAGGUUAUUCUUCAUAUUACUAGUUGGUUUUAUAUGGUGGAAUCUCAACUUCCUUCAUGGUAUCAAAGUAGGUUGUCUCAUGUGUAAAGCCCAACGGCCAUAUGUGCUCCGCAUCACCGAUUUGUGGUGUCCAUAUGUUAAGCUAAAAAAUUCGCCAUACAUGAGGGGGCAUGUUGAGAGUAUGAACACAUCGGAGAAAGAAUGAACCUUGCAUGAGUUUAUGAGUAGUUUGACUAUUUUCCAUUUUGCCAAUUGAUUUUAUGGUUAAAUCUCUAAAUCAGCAUGCUUAUCCAUUCCCUUACAUUCCACUUGGAAUUCAUACCCUAAUAAAUUAGAAGAAAGAAUAUCAUCUUACCCAAAAAAAAAGUCUCAUAAUUAAAAUUCUCUAAUAAUAUAAAUCAAUGACACAUAUUGAAGCAAAAAUAAGGGAAUGUGAUGUAAAAGAUUAGAUCAAAUCCACAGAUUGAUGCGUAAAGCCGAGCUGAAUGAGAUUAUAUGCUUGAAACCAACGUCUUAUUGGAAUUUAAUACUUUUUAAAUCCCAUAAUCACUUUAUUAGGCAGCAGAGAGAGUUGUUUGACUACUGCACCUUUAAAUGGCAUACAAUAUAGAAAUAGAAUCACAUGCUGCAAUUGCAUGCAGUUGAGUACUAAUUAAUUUGGCACUCAUCUGUAUUAUCGGUUAGUGGAAAUGGAAUUGUGACGUGAUUAGGUCAUCGAUCUCCCAGCAGAAUAUGCCCAAGCUAGCCCUACUUGGGUCGUCGGUCAUCAUCAUGUGUUUUUGUAAUUGUACCACACGAGUCCAUGACUCCAUGUCGAUGAGGAUGACCUAAUCUUCUUACUUCUGUGUAAAAAAGUGGCCACAUUAUCGUUGCAUUACACAAUAUAUCAGUACAGAUGCAGGUACAUGAUGGAUAUAUAUCUGCAGUCGUCAAAUGGAAUAUAUAGUUCUAGAAAGACUCCAUUCGCAUUCUUCCUUCCACAUCAUUAUCUGUAUUUAUAAAUUCCAUGUAUGGUAUAUUUCAAGAUAAAAAAUUAAAUUCCAAAAGGAGGGUACUGAUUCGAUCCGCACCCCUUUCCGUGUAUGAACAGCACAAAAUCGAAGCAACCAAAGUUAAUAUGCCCUAGAAUUAUAUGGAACAUUUUUUUUUGAGGUUUAAGUCGAGAUGUUAGCUUAAUAUAUACAUGUUGUUGUACAUUUUUUAGUAAGGGUUGUCUAAUAUGGUAUUAGAAUAUGUUUCAAAAAAUUCUGAGUCCCGAAAUCCUUAUAUAUUUUCCGACCAAAAAAAAAAAAAAACCCUUAUAUAUUUGUCUCUUCACUAAUUAAGUUUUUGAGCCAUACCAUCAAUCGAAAUAGGUGCUCAUAUAAAUGAUUUUAUAAAUUAACUAAAUAGAGAGAAAAUCCAUUGCAAGACGAUGGAAAUGGGGAGUGAGAUCUUUGUCUGUCGACUGCAAAUUGCAUGAAUUGCAACGGUGGUCAGCCUGUGAUGGAUACAGUUGGCUUGGAUUUGAUGCUCAGCUGGUCCCCAUAAUCCUCUCUCUCUCUCUCUCUCUCUCUCUCUCUCUAAAAUGGAAACAGGUGGAGGAGGCUUCUUUCUCUCUAAGCUUUAAGCCUUUAGUGCGCUUUGGGUUUCCUUCAUGUUCUUUCAAACUGGAAUCUCUUGUGUUGUCCGAUGGUGGUGGGGGUGGGCUGUGGCCUGCUGGGUGUGGUCACUGCCUCAUCACUGGUCUGUGACAAUUGGUGUGGGUGAGUGGGACCCACUCGCCACCUAUCCCUACCUUGACUACUCAAACCAGUCUCCAUUCCUGUCAUCUUGUUUUCCCUCACACUCACAACUGUGUGAAUGUUUCUUUUGUUUAAUUACUGUACAUCACUUUUACAUGUAAGAUACAUAAAAUGAUAAUUCCUACACAUUGUUGUAGGAAACAAAUUUGGUUAGUUAAGGUUAUUAACUAGCGCAAUUCUCACACUAAAAGAAAUCAUAAUAGUGUUAAUCAGUGGCGGAGUAUGGGAUCAUAGGUAAAUAGCUUAAUACAUCCAUUAUAUUUUUACAUAUAUAUAUAUAUUUGUGUAUGACCCAUAUAUACAGCUGCGGCUUCUUAUGUACAGUUGUAGAUUUUCUUCUUUCUUUCUUUUGUCAUCUUUUUCUAUUUCUUGUAUGCGACCUUAUGAUGUGCAACAACAUUUGAUAAAAAAAAACCUCACUUGAUAGGCCUCAGAAGAACGCAACAUAACUCAAAGGGUACCCACCAGAAGCUCGACGAAAUGAUUCAAUGAAGUUUUUUUUUUGUACCAAAAUUAUGACCCUAUUGUUAUAAAACUCCGACUCCGCCACUGAAGUUAACUAAAUUCAAAAUACAAAUUGUCAUGAUGUGAUAGGAUACUCUUACUCAAGUUUUACAAGAAACAAUUUCUUGUACUAAUAAGUACGUACCAUUACAAUAUAUUAGAGAGUGCAUAUUAAUUCACAAUUGACCACCUAUAUACAUAUGGGUGCCCACCAGGCCUAUCAGUGGACCUCCAAUAUAGUACAUUUGUCCAUGAGCAACAGCUACCAGCAUUAUCGUCAUAAUUCAAACCCAAAAAAACUAUUAGCAAACAACAACCAAAGUAGAUUAAGAUAAUAUCCAUGUUUUGGAUAACUAUUGUUCAUGAGGUGGGUGGCUUCAAUUUUGGUUAAUAGUAAAUUGGGUGUUGCACAAUUAAAUUAACCAAGUUGUAGUUGUAGGAUCUAAAUUGCCCUAACAUGCCAGUAGCUACUUUAAUUCUGUAGUAAAAAAGUCUUACACCAGAUGAUAGAAUAUACAUGAUCUCAAUCUAGUAAAGAGCAGCAACAUGCAUAAUAGUACUAGUUUAGUUACAAUUAAAGGUGUAAUUAAGUAACGGUGUAUCCUGUAAGAGAGAGAGAGAGAGAGAGAGAGAGGUGCUCACUGGGAGAAGAAUAAUGAUGGGUUGUAAGGAAGGAGGAGAAGAUCCCUUGGGAGACUACAAAAUCCGUUUGUUCCCUCCUCCGAAUGCCUUUUCUUUUUAGGAGCCGAUGAGCUGCCCUCCACAUGCAAUUCACUUCUGCUUCUGCAGCUCUCUAUUUUUUUUCUUUCUUUUUUGAUUGAAACUGCAGCUCUGUAUGCUAGCUUUGGUUUGAUUUCCACAGUUAUAUCUCUCCCUUCUCUUUCUUUGUGACACCAUUAACGGUUUUUCUUUGCUUUUUUUAUUUCUGUUUUUAUUUUUCUCGGUAAUAAAGCGUGGUGGUCUUUGGUCUGUGUUUUCAGUAGUCUCUGGGAUGUAGACCGCCACAUGGUGCCCUCUUGUCUUUUUCUUUUUGGAGUUUCCACUAAUUCCUAUUUGGUAUGAAUAUUUUCCUCCUAUACGAUAGAUUUUUCAAUGUGACCGUCACACGAAGUGGUACAUCAUAUGUCCUUAUAUAAAUGGUGAGUUAUGUGUGUUAAAAGGUUAAUAACUUAAAAAUUAAAAAAUUUCAUCACUUACAUAAAAACACGUGGUGUACCAUCUGUGUUCCUAUUACAACUAAAAAUUUCUCCUCCUAUACAUAUGUUGUGCUUAUUAUAUAAUCCUCCUUUAUUUUGCAUAUAAUCUCCAACCCUACCUACCAUUAGUUUAGUUCACUACAUGCCUCCACAAGUUAGAGAAGACAACAUAGGAUAUUAGUUAGGGUUGUUAGACUGUUAAUCCGAACAACUGAUUAUGUUGAUUUUUACAGCGCAAUUUACGGAUUAUGGUCAACAAUUUAUUCAUGCAAAAGACCUAUAAAUUGAAGAAAAAAAAUACAAUUAAUAUAAAGGUAAUGCUAGGGCUACUUAAUUUAUAAACUAAAUUUUGUAAACUAAAUUACAUAGAAGUUGAUAAUUGAAAGUGUUGAUAAACGUGCUCAUUCCUAUUGGUGACACAUCAUUUUGUUUGCAAAUUUAAUCUACAAGUUUAGACUAUCUAGCAUUACUAGUACAAAUACCACUUGCUACUUUCCAUAAUUAGCAAGAUGAUUAACGGACCAGGAUCCUCUCCUGAGCAAUUCCCUAGGGAUCCCGCAAUCUUGUCCGUUCAUUUUAUAUCGUGCGGUCAGUUUUCGUUAGGUACUAUUCAUAUUUGAAUUUUAAAAUUUAAAAUUUAAAUGAUUUUUUUGACCACACGAUAUACGAUGAACGGACAAGAUUGCGGGAUCCCUGGGAUCCCUAGGGAAUUGCUCAGGAGAGAUGCUUGUCCAUGAUUAACAUAUUUGUAAGCUCGUUUUCAUCCACUUUUUAUAAGCUGCUAUUGAAGAGAAAUCAUUUUCCACAAUAUGAUGUCCCAUCAAAUUAAUAAUUACACAACUCAGUUUGGAUUAUUAUUAGAUUAUUGUAGUGGAAAGUAACAUGUUGAUACAUGGGAGCUGAGGGUCAUAUAUGUACUGAGAAAUGUUAAGGGGAUUCGUUUAAAAGUGGAACUCUAUGUUAUUUUAUAUUUUUAACAUAAUAUUUUAUAAUAUUAGCAUGAAAAUUGUUAAAUUGUAAGAUGAUAGAAAAUGCAUGAAAGUCUCAUUUUUAAAACCAUCUCCUUAGCAUUUCUCGUUUGUACUAUAGUAUACAUAUUCAUACUUAACUUUAUCAAAUAAACAAAGUAAAAGAAAAGCAAGAAAGAGGAAGUGAGAUUUUGCUACGAAGACCGCAUCGGAUACUGGAGCUCUAGGGACUCCCUCUACUCUUUAUCUAGUUUGCUGCUAUCUCUAUGCAAAUUAAAGGAAUGUAUGUUGUUAAUCAUAGGAAUGUGUUAUUUAAUCGUGAUUAGCUUCAAUUCCUUAGUAAAAUUCUCUCUCUUUCUUGAACCUCCCAAAUAUUCAUCUCCAAUGUCACAUUACCUUCCUGUCCGCUUCUCGGAUUUCGAAUGUCCUCAAUAUUCUUUCCCAUCCUUUAAUUCCAAUUAUAAUAUUCAAAACCGAUUUUAUACCACAACCAUCACGUGAAAUUAGAUUCAAAGUAAUUAACCCUUAAUAACUAAUUACAAUUAUUUAACCAAUUCUCAUCUAAUAUUAAUCAAGUAAUGUUAUUCAUAUCAUAUUUUUAUAGCAUCUUAGGUAAUCUAAUAUGGACAACCACAUCAUUUGAAAAAUUUACAAAACCCAAAGAAAUGAAGGAGAAAGACUCUUCGUAUACCAUAAUAAUCAUUUAAUUAACUAGUUUUUCUUAAUUAUUAGUUUAUUAAAUAAUGAACUAAAUUAAAAAUCUGAUUAAUUCAAAUGAUGUGGUUGUCUACAUCAAUGUCAUGGUAUGAAAAUGUUGUACAAAAACAUACCUUCCUUCUCCCUCUCUCUCAUAGUCAUAAUGUUUCAACUCCAUCAAGAAAGACUCAUGUCGCCACCUGCUCUUUGUCCUCUUACUCAUCGUUUCAACGAUUCCCUUCUCAAAGAGAAAAAAACAUGUUGAGCAACUGUGAUCAUGAGAAGAUGGCUCUACUCAUCUCUUCAACUACUAACGAAUGGCCACAGGUUCCCUUCUCUCUCUCUCUCUCUCUAGAUUUCAAUUAUUAGACAAACCAUGACACAACUUUUGUUGCUUAGCUCUUGGAACAGAAUAUUUCUCCUGUGAUGUAGUUAUUUUUACCCUAGCACCACCGCCUUAACCUUCUUUCUUUCUUUCCCUUUUCCUUCCUUUCCCUUCGAUCUUUGUAGAUGCAGCAGGAUAUUCAAAUCGAUGAUAUAGAUCAUCAAAGGGGCUUGAACAACAACAAUAACGCUAUGUCUUCAUCGACGUCGUCGUCGGCGAAUCGGAUAAUGGAGAAACCAGGUCAAGAACAACUCCAGCUCCAACAGCAAGCCCUAAAGUGCCCUCGCUGCGAUUCGUCAAACACCAAGUUCUGUUACUACAACAACUACAGCUUGUCUCAGCCGAGGCACUUCUGCAAGGCCUGCAAGCGCUACUGGACCCGAGGUGGGACCCUCCGCAACGUUCCAGUCGGUGGAGGAUGCCGAAAGAACAAGCGCGUGAAGAGGCCUGGCUCGACAUCUUCAACAUCAUCAGCCAUGGAUGGUGGAACUCCGUCUUCUUCCUCUUCAGUUCCUAGCACUACUGCUGCUGUUAAUAAAAUUCAACCCAACACCCGUCCACUCGACAAAUAAUCCGCUCUUUAUUUGUCUGUAACCUUUUAUGGAUACUUUCAGGUUAUUUCAUCAUUGAAUAUCGGUCAGCGGGAUAGGUUUUCAUCAUCGUCAGGUACUAAUAUGAUGUCCAGUGAUAAUUAUCGAAACCGGUUUAAUCCCGCUUCAAAUUCAUCGCUUCCUUCCAAUUAUAGUUCCAUGUUUAGUACUUCCCCAUCCACCACAGCUCCAACUGUGGCUUCUGUGCUUGCUUCUAAAUUCAUCAAUGGCGGUGCUUUCAAAGAUAUUCAAACUAGAGGGCCUCAUCAGCAUAAUCAAUACUUCCAGUCCUUGCUACCAUUUGAAGAUCUUCAAAUAGCGGCCGGAAGCAACGGUGAGGCUGGUAGUGCCUCGAAAGACGUGAAAGUAGAAGAUCAUGGUGGCCAAAACAGGUUAGAGUGGAAUAAUAACAAUGGCAGCAGUAAUGUGAAUGGUAAUAUGAAUUGCCAGAAUCAGAUCACGGAGCAGAUGGGGCUCUCAGAUCCUACUCUUUACUGGAACUCAUCGACUCUCGGUUCUAAUUGGCAUGAUCCGGCAAAUCUUGGGUCCUCAGUCUCUUCACUGAUCUAGCAAAACCCAACUUUAUCGUCAACGUUAUUUUUCGAUCUCAAAACCUCCUUUUUCCUUAAUUAGAGUCAUUUUUAGGUUUUUAUUAGUUGGUUGGUUAUUGGUUUUUAGUGAAUUGGUGUGUGGUUUUAGAAAGCUCAAGAAAAAAAAAACUAGAAAAAAAUUGGAAAAACUUGUAAAAGAAAGUUCAAGGGUACAGUAUUGGAAAGAAGAUGGCAGGAGCUGGGAUCGGAGUGAUCAUGUCAGCAGCAAUAAGAGAAUCGGCUUCUUGAUAAGUUUUAUUAAUCAAGGGUUGAGAAUCCCCCGUAAAUUGCGCUGAGAGGAACCUCGGAUCUUCUUCGUCUCACUGCCUCGAGUACUAUCAACGAUCAUCAUGAUCAUAAUCGUAAUCAACAUCUUCUACACAGAGCUGAAGUCUCCUCCAUUGGUGCAAACACCUCCCUCUCUAGUCCAGUAAGUUGGUGUGUUUAUUUGGUAUGUGUAUAUAUGUGCAUGACAAUGUUUCCUAAAUCUCAUAUGUAUUGGUUAUAAUUAGCUAGGUUGGGGUUGGUGGGUUUACUUUAUAUAUGAUCAGAAGGAACUAAUUUUGUUUUUCUUCUUUUGUUCAUGGGGAUGGUGUGUUUAGAGGGGAAACAUGGGGUUAAUUUGGUAUAAUGGUAUACAAGAGAUGGGAGACAAUUGUUGUUGCAAGGUGGGUAAUAUAUGUUGGUUUUUCAUUUAUAUGAUGUACGUUUCAACUUAAUUUGUACUUUGUAGUUGAUGAUAUCAUUAGCUGGUUUUGAAUUUGAAAUUAUGUUUUGGAAGAAUGCUGAUAUUUUCAAACCAUUCACAUUAAAAUCUGAAUCUAUACUGUAUGACAUGAUACUGUUUGACAUGAUGUUUCACGAUAGCUACUAAGGAUAAGGUUAGCUGUACAGAGUAUGGGGUGGGUAAAACGCCUAAUAUCGUGGCCAAUAACCUCAUUAGCUAUUGAUAUGCCCUAAACAACUAAUUUCAGUAACUAUAUAUUCUCAGUUGUUGUUGUUGUAGUGAGCAUGCAUUUAGGCUAGCUACCAUUGAGAUUGAGUAAGGUUUUGUGGAAACUAAUGUGAACCCCAAGAAGAGUAGAUGGGUCGAGUGAUCAAAACCAUAGUUUUCAUAUCUUGAAAUUAUUCUACGGGAGACAACAAUUAUAUGGAUUUGAAGGUACGUGGGAUUUAUGCCCUUGGACUAUAGUAUGCUGGCUGUAGCGGAACUGUUUAUUCUCCCAAUAUAUAUAUAGUACUACUUGGAUGGGAGGGAGAGAGAGAGAGAGAGAGAGAGAGAGAGAGAGAGAGAGAGAGAGAGAGAGAGAGAGGUAGUGGAGAUUCUUUACGCACGUACGUCCGUGAUGAAGAUUUCACAUGCGAAUAACUAAGAUAAGGUGAAUGAAUGUGUAUUGAAUUGACCAAGCCGUAGAAAUACAAUGCGCUAGUUCAUAUUAAUCUCUCUCUCUCUCUCUCUCUCUCUCUCUCUCUCUCUCUCUCUCUAGCAUAUCUACCUCUGAGAGAUCAGUGGAGAGAUUCUUUGACUUUAUGCGUGCAUGUUGCAUAUGCAGAUAAUUAACUAAGUUUGAAAAUUCGUCUUGUUAAUUUGAAAUAUGCUGUUAAACUAGCUAGCUAAUAAUUAGAUGAAAUUUAUGUUGUUGUCACCGUAAUAUUCAGUAUCUGUAGAUAUGAUAUUCUAGACUUUAGUGGCAGACAACUGGUAUCGCACUCCUUCAAAAGCUGGCCAAUUCAUGAUCUACAUCUUCGCCAGCUUUCCCUUUGGUAUAUAUUCAAAUCUGAUGAGAGCGAAAUUAAGAUGGAAAAUGGACUUGCUAAUUUCUUAUUUUAUGACGGGAUAUGAGAAACUGAGUGCUGUUAAUUAUCUAGGGGCAAUUUGGAAAACUAGCUUUUUUAAGCACAUAGGGGCUUUUAGCUCCCUUUUCUAAGAUUCAGAAAUUUGGGAGCAGCCUCUCCAUAAAUGGGGGAAAGGCUAGCCGACAUUCACCUCUCCCAGACCCUGCGUAAAGCGGGAGCCUUGUGCACUGGUACGACCUUUUUUUCUAAGAUUCAGAAAUAUGUUCAGUGUUGAGGCCUCUCGAACAAUGUUUGAACUCACAUUAAGUGGUCAGCUCUAAAAGUUGAAAAGAAUUACUAAAAUUCUUUAAGAUAUUCAAAAUUUGGCUACUUUGCAAAAUUUUCUCCGAGUUCUAGGGUUCUUGGUUUAGGGUUUUGGGAUUUUAGUACAUCACAUAACUGACUAGUAGGAUGAAAUUCGGCUUGUCUCACUUUAAUUUAUAAAAAAAAUGCUAAGAAGACUCUCUCAAAUUGAUCAGAGUCCCUAUGGAUUCUCUAGCACCUUAUAGUUUGGUAUUAAUUUUCGUGCCAACAUUAUAAAAUAUUGUGUCAAAAACAUGAGAGGUCAUGAAGAGUCUCAUUUUUGAGAGAUUCUUCUUACCAUUUCUCUUCAUUUUUAUAUACGUGCAUUUGUUUACGUCGACAAUUUGCGAUGUUUUUUAUGGUGUGCCACGCUAAGAGGGUUAGACAAAUCAUGGCUUGUCAAGACAUGUGACAUGCCAUCGCAUGCCAACAUCGAUGUUUUGGCGUGUCACGAUGUAAGGGUUAGUGUGUCAAAGUAUUAGAAAAAUGUAUGGCAUGACAUGCUAACUCUUGCAUCGUGACACGCCAAAACAUUGAUAUUGGCCCCCACAUGACAAGCGUCGUGAAUUGUUAGCAUAAUGCAUGUCAUGCUACGCUAUGCAUUCUCUCAAAAAUUUGCAAGACUUGUUAUGACGUGCCACGAUAGGAGGGUUAGGGUGUUAAAACAAGUCAUACCCUGCAUUCUGGCAACAACUCGCGAGGCUUGUUAUGACAUGCAUUUUUCUAACACUUUGCCUACUAUUUCGGAUAAUUAAAAAAAAAAGAUCUAGGAAAUAGUAGAUCUUGGGGCCUAAAUUAUUUUUAUAGAAAUUUGUACAAAAUAGGACGGUAGUCAUAUAUGAACGUGUUAUUACCGGUAACAACACGUUCAUUAGUAGAGUUGAAAAUUUCUACAUGAUCUUACCGGUAAUAACCUUUGCAAGCUUUUAGAUGCAUCACUGACCUUCAUAUAUAAUUGCCUACUUUGUUGUAGUAAUUUCCAAAAAAGUAAUUUAAGGUUUCGGGGUCUACUCUUUCCUAUAUCCUCAUUUUUACAUGCAUUUUGCCAACAUUUUGCCCACUAUUUCGGAAUAAUUUAGAAGCGAGGCCAGUGUCGGGGCUAACAAUGAUGUUUUUGGCGUGCCAUGAUGCGAGGGAUAGCAUGUCAAAGUGUUAGAAAAAUAUACAUCACAUGACACGCUAACUCUUGUAUCGUGGCAUUCCAAAAAUAUCAAUGUUAGUCCCGACAUGAAACAUCGCAAAUUGUUGUAAGAAUACAUUAAUGAGGUUACGAAUGCAUGAAAGAGGUUAAAAGUGAUUUUCUGUGGUGGUGGUGGUGGUGCUACUGGUCCCAAUUAAUAUUUGCUGAUCGGCAAGCACGGAUCACGAUCUAAACUUGCCUCCAAGAUGGUACUUUGAAGCCUUGAUUAUGAUAUAUAUCCAUGCCAUGUACAUGUACUGAAAAGUAGAUAGGAAAGUGACGACGCCAACAUGCAUGGUGAUGGUGGUCCUGAGUUUGUAUAUCUAUAGUGGAGAAGCUGCAUGCACAUUACAUGUUGUCUAGAUUGAAAAUGAUUUGGUGAGUAGUCUAACCUCUUAUAAAUCUUUACAAAGUUUCUUUUUACACCAUUGUGAGACUCUUUUACUUUCACAUCCUCACAUACCCUCUCGCGUAUGGCAAAUUUUCGAAUUGAGUGACGUGGAACACAUGUGGUUGUUGAACUUCACACAUGGGCCAACCUGGCUUUGAUAUUAUUAAAAAAGUUAAGGUUCCACUAUAAAACUAAUUGACAAUAUAGAAAGUAACCCAACAUCUUAGAAGCUCUUACAAAAUUUCUCAUUUUACCAAUGUGAGACUACCUUUACAUCGUUACAGAAGGCAUGCCUUGAUAUCAAUGAUUAUCUAAUAUAUUAGUAUAUUAAAGAACAACCGGUACCGUGUGAUAUGAUUUCAAUGAUGUGAUGAUUGUAGCCUCAUUGUAUACCUAUAGCUAGAGGUGUCAAACGGGCCUGGCAGAACCGUAAAGUCGGCCCAUAUGGGCUUGAGUAGUGCUUGGAACGGCCCACUUAAUAAACAAAUCGGCCGACUUACCUAAUAAAAUAUUAAGUCCAGCUCAGUUCUAGCCCUAGCCGAUUAAGACUUGGGCCGGGUCUCCAAACAGGCUAACUUCGACAAAACAAACUUUAGUUAUUUUAUCUCUACUAAUUAAUAAAACAAACUAAAAUAUUAUGAAAUUACUAAUUUAACCUUCUAAUUAAAACAGAACAUAAAUUAGAAAUAUGGGGCAGAAAUGUAACUUCUCACUCCCACAUUCUCUAUCACUCUUUUCCUCACUCCUUCUAUUUCAAAAACAAAAAUAAAAAAAUUUCUCACACACUUUGUGUGUGCCCAUAUGCUAGCUUUAUUUAAAAAAAAAAAAACUUAUUUGAACAUGUUAUUAAGCUAAAUAUCACUAACAUUAAUUCUUACCUUAAAAUGUAUGUUUGCAAUUCAAAAAUAAUGAAGAAAUGAGAUUAUUUAUAAUGGGUCAGGGCAGCAAGCCGUGCUCAGCCCAUUGGGUCUAAAUCUUAGGUUUGGUCUACCCACUUCUUACAAAUCGUGUUGUGUCAUGCCUUAUUUAAGUGAACAUGAUAGUGUUGUGCCUGGUUUAAGUGGGCAUGUGCUGUGCUCGUGCUGGCGCACCAUUUUAAUACCUCUACUUAUUGUUAUACGAAGAAAGAAGACAAUGGUUGUGGAGCACAAGGCCAUAAUAAUACAUUCAAUAAUUUUCGUUAAUAAACGAUUGAUUUAUGUUAUAGUACACCAAUAUGUACGUUGCGCAGUAGUACCACCGUUUUACUGCAUAUUACAAGGCCAGAUUGUAUAUCACAGUUAGUUCUAGGUCGAUAUUGACAGGGGAAUGAAUGGAAGAAUUUAAAAUGGCAUAUAACCUGUUUGAUAUCUUUUAUAAGGGGUAACUUGUCUAGAAAUUUAAAACACAAUUAUUUUGAUUUUAGGGCGUUGACGUGCUUAAGAUAGGGCGUGUUUGGGCAGCACUUAAAUGAGGUGUUCUAAACUAAACCUGGACAGGGAUGUCAACUUCUGCAGAAAGCUAAUCCUCUAGGGCAGAAAUUGGUGUCGGUGAAAUUAGGGUUCCAAGCUUGCAAGUGAUGGCAGAAGGUGUAGUCUCUACAGUCUACUUAUGUAAGAAAUUAUCAAGACACCACUGACAAACCUCUUGCAAUUGCAGCCUCUAUUAGAUGUACGUAGUGUUGCCCCUGCAUCAUCAUGUGAAUUCGAACUCCGUCAAUUCUCUAAUUUAACAUCUAAACUAACAAAUCUAUCGUUUGAAAAAAAAAAUGCCAAAUUAGACCAGUGGGCUUGGUUUCUCUUGUGCUGUCUCCUUGUCUAUCCCCAACAAAUCCAAUUUUUCUGGGGAUGCAGGGGACCCCCUCAAUUGACCGAGGAAAGACGAUCAGCUGCUGGUCCUCCUAGCUCCUGCCUCAUUCUUGCAUUUAAUUUAGUCCUGGCCUUUCAUACAAGCGAUUGGGAACACGGUGAUGCUCUCAUCGAGAUAUAUAGACAAAUCGAACCUAUAAAUGUAAGUCAGAAAUCAGUAGCAAUUUCGAAUCCACUAAAAAUUGAAAAUCUCAAAAUUUAUCAUGGAAUGAUAAUAACCUUAGCACCACAAUGCUUUUAUAAUGUAUUACGUAUCUUAUCACAUCUUCAAACUUGCUAGGAAACCUUAUAAAAAACAAAGAGUGCUAUUUUUCUCACCUCACUUUUUAAUAAAAAGUUUAAUUACAUAUUUGCCUAUUUAUAAGGGGACCGAUAAAAAUCUUAAAAGAUAUAUAAUAAUAAUAGCUUGGGCUCGAAAAUGUAACAUAAGUUCUAGACUUACAUUGGGUUGUGAAAUAAAUGGACAAUAUAUAAGCCUAGUUUGCAAAAAUGACAAAAGAUGAGGAUAGAAAGAAUUCUGGAACGAAAAAGUGUGGAUGCCCUUGUCCAAUUAAAGGGUAAGAAUUAGCAACUGAUGAUGAUUGGAAAUUGAUAGCAAUUAUAGUAAUGCAUAAUCACAACAGAGCAUUUGGAAUGUCAUUCAUUUACUAGUAGAUUAACAUGCAACGUUUUCAUUAUACGUAAGUGUUGACCUUUGAAUAGUUCAACAUCAUUAAUAAUGUUUUUCAACGUUCACGUAGGAUCAAACAGCAUAAUCCAAGAAGUACUCUUCCCACUGUACUCACAGCAUGGUCCUACUCCUAAAUAUCACUUGAAAAAUUGGGUUUUAUCAUACAUCACUUAUUAUCAUAUGAAUCCAAUUGUAAAGGAUGAAAAUCGUUUGUAAUGUGGUUUUAAAUAUAUAUAAUCUCAUCACAUAAUCUUAGAAAUUUCUAAUUUAAUCCCUACCAAAUACAUUAUGUUUCAUUUUAUAAACAUUAUGUUACAAGCCUUAUGACAGGUAUGUGAAGGAGCCAACUAGAAGAGGACAAGAACACCAAUGCGAGGAAAUAUAGGUGCAGACAUGAGACAAUGGGCAGUUGUGUGUGAGGUUGAAUAAUUAGAACUCCUUCCGUCCUUAGAAGUACCCCCUUCUCCACGCUAUCUUCCCAACUCCUUCACUUUGAUAAUGGCGUACGUCAAACCUUUGCUCUAAAGCAACCCUUUGCCAAGACAAAAGAAUUUUCAACUUCCUUUCAUGGUUAGUCAACCCCAUCUUCUACAUUGGUCACCCUUCUCUCUUUCAAUCUUUAUUCCCUUUAAGUAGAAGUGCAGAACGAAAAAACAAAUUCCUCUUGGAGAAAAACUUAAAAGGAAAUCCAAUCACGUCAUUCGUAAUACUUCUUACAGAAUUAUGUGAUUCUAUGUAUUUUGGUCUCAUUUGAUCUUACGAAAUCUAACUGAGAAAUCUAGGUGUAAGAGCUACCCUAAUAGUGCAACUACCAAAUUUUUUGAUAUAUAUAGAAAUAGGGAUAUUUCCAAACUAUGUUUUUGAGAAUCCAUCAUUAUUACUUUAUCUACACACACUUUUUAAGACAAAUUUUUAUACCAUAAAAUGAUCUAAACUUUCAUUUUAUGCCUCAUUGACAAUAUACAGGGCAGUCUAGUGUAUCGAGAAAUUAUGUGAAUUAAGAAUAUGUAUGAGUAAAAGAUCAUGUCACUGCACCACAAAUUAGGUUUUUAUAGGACUUCAAAAAUGCUAUAGUGGCCUACAAUAGCGUUGUAGAAAGUGCUAUAACAGUCCAUGCUAUGAAAAGUCUUGCUCCUUUCAUAGGGUUUUGAUUUUUAAAAACCUUAAGCAGAACCCUAAGUUGAAAUUCCAAUAUGAAGUUAAAUCAAUGAGUUCAUAAAUCGUUACAUACAAAGAGAGAAGGAAAGAAAAUUGUUUAUCUUUCACAGUGGAGUCGAAGACUCGAAGUGCUUACUUUGUUGAGAAUCGAGGAAGAGAUGAUGGAGAGAAACAGGAAGCAAAGAGAAAAAAUUGAAGCGUGUUUUUUGCUUUGCCUUUCUAACCAUUUUUUAUUGAGAAUCUAAUUAAUUACAAAUGAACUCUUUAAUUAUGAUUUAGUGCACACAUUAUUGGGCUAGAUUGGCACACGCGUAAUUUUCUCAAAAGAUCAUAAGGUUUAAGUGGCCAAUCCACAAAACUUUUGAAGGAAACCACAAGACCUGCAAAGCUUGACCAAAUGAUGGUGCAUUGGGGCCUCGAGUCGCACAUCGAUGGGAUGUCAAUUUGAUGGAAAGUCCACUUCUUUCCACCGGAGUUUUUGUAUAUUGGGCAAGUGGGUCGCCACCACUUCUGCAUGCUUCGAUAUUAUAGAAAUAUAUAUAAGCUGUAACACAUCAACAUCAGGUAAAUGUAUAUGUGCGCUAAAGCUAGACACUGGAUUGUUCCUCCAUGCAAAGGGCGGUGGAAGGUUCCCCACUAAUGCACUCAUCAUACUUUGUCCUGAAUGUCCUUUCCAGUUUCAAGUGAGACCUCUUUAGGUUGAAAUACUCAAUCAUUCGAUUCAUUCCCAUUAUUUAUACAAGUCUCUUGGAGCACAAGCAACCAAAGAUGGCGACCUCCGAUGUGCUAUACUGUUCAAUUUAGAAUGGAGGGAAGUGGGGACUGGAAUUUUAUUCCAGCGAAUGGUUGUGAGCUAGUGAUGGAUUUCAAAGGAAUAUUUAUCUAUUAUUUAUUUAUUUAUUUGAUUACGUCGAAGAAUUUUGAACACUGAAUUUAGUCUACUCGUUUUUACAUCCCCAUCACUGGAUAAAUCCCAGUGGCUUACCAUUUUUUGUCCAAUUUUUUAUUUAUUCCACAUUGCAUUCAUCCCACAAAACUCCAAGGGUAUAUUUUACUUUGUUUCGACAUAAUUAAUUUCUCGGAUAAUGCUUGGGAGACUAAAUUUUUAAACCUUGCAAACCCAAUGAUGUGUCAUCAAUAAGAAAUAAGCAUGUUAAUUGACACUUAAUUCAUAAUCCAAUAAUCUACAACCACAUCAUUUGAUUUGCAAAUUGGUUUAAAAAUUUUGUAACAUCCCACAUCACCCAAGGGGAGUGAUCCUUAAUGUAUAUUCUCAUUUCUACCUAGCACGAGACAUUUUGGGAGCUCACUGGCUUCGGGUUUCGUCGGAACUCCGAAGUUAAGCGAGAAGGGGGCCAAAGCACUCCCAUGAUGGGUGAUCCACUGGGAAGUUGCUCGUGAGUUUCCAGAAAUAAAACCGUGAGGGCGUGAUCGGGGCCCAAAGCGGAUAAUAUCAUACUACGGUGGUGGAGCGGGCCUGGGAAGUGGUCCGCCCUAGGCCGGGAUGUGACAAAUUUGGUCUCCCUAGCAUUACCUACCAUAAUAUCUCAUGUUAUAUUUUUUUCUUGGGAUUAGUUAAGACAUUUCCACUAAAUUUAACUCAUUAAUAAGUGGUACCACUCUAACACCACAUAAUUAAGCAAAGAUAAAGUAGUAAUCACAAGCAUAACAGUGCACCUAAGGUUAUCCCCAAUCUAACAGGUAAAAAUUAAAAUUCAUGGAGUUAAUUUUGGAGUCAAAUUUUAUUCUAAAUAUUAUAUAAUCAGUUAAAAGUAAGAAACGUUUGAAGUCAAAUGUCAUAUUUGAUUAUUUAAGUCAAAUGCCAAAUCAAAUAUGACUUUGCACUUAACUCUAAGGUCAUAUGUAAUUCUAACUUUUCUAAUGUGUUUGAGGGAAAUAGAGUCAAAGGUUAUAUUUAACUUCAACAUUUUAUGUGCGUUGGUGAUAACCUAAGAUUGUACUAGUUAAGGUAAAUAAUUAAAUUCCAAUAAACAAAAUAUUCAUUGCAGAUUUUACUCAUAGAGAAAUAGUAAGGCGGUAUAUAUAUCCAUCAACGUUAACCACAAAACUUGAAAAUUGGUUAUUGAUAUCCAGCCUCUUAUAAGCGAGUUCAAAUGAAAGACCUGUAGUUUUUGCAGUAAAAUUUAUAUAUGUUAUAGCUUAAGCUCUUUAUAAUACAAAUAAAAAAAUACUACAGUCUACGUCUCAACAAUUCCCACUCGAACUUGCUUUAGGUUUUAUACUUAAUGGUUUAAUUAAACAAGAAAUUUAGUCACUUGCCCUAAGAUAUAAAAUGAUAAGUUUUUUCUUUUUUGGUGUGCAACAGAGAUCUCUCUGAUGCAGACCAAAGAUUUGCUUUUAGUCGGAAACCACAACACCCACCUUCACGCCCUCUCAGCAUUCUAUAUUUGUAGAAUAAACCCAUUGAUUAUUAUAUAUAAAUUGCUCCUGCGACUGCAAAGCCCUAAUUGAUCUUUGUUUAUGCAAUAGUUAAUUAAUUAAUUGAAUGUAGUGCUAAUCAACUGUCCCAGUGGUGGUCCUUGCAGAGUAAGAUUCACUGCUGGAGUUGGACACAGUGUCCUAUAGAACGUGGAAGGUGGUGUUUGAACUUUGAAAUGGGAUCAAACCAUGCAGGCUUUUUCUCCCUUCCACUAGCUAGGCUCUAUCAUUCCGGAGCGAAGCUAGAAAUAGUAUUCAUGCGGCACAACGGUAAUGACAGGUGCAGGUUAUUGUACAAUUCUAAAAAGAGGCACUUUAUUGAGCACUUGAUUAACUCAUGUUCAUUGUGCUUAGUGUACACUUGUACAUUCUCACCAGUUGUGCUCUUUUAAUUGGGAAAAUGAUCCUCUCUCCGGAUCUUCUUUGUGGAACCGGAUUCCCUCCAAACCCAAAGAAAUUGAGCUCAAUGAUCAAAUGAUUUGAGUCAUUGAAGUUUGAUCCGACGGCUACAAUUAUUAUAACUUUUCAUCCGAACCCAAAUGAACUAAGCUCAAAGAUCAAAUGAUCCGGGCCAUUGAAACUUAAACCAACGGCUACAAUUAUUAUAACUUUUAGAAGCCCCAUGUUUGUAGUCGUUGAAUCAAAUUUCAAUAGUCUAGAUCAUUUGAUAAGUGGGCUAAGUUCCUUUGGGUCCAGAGGGGAUCCAGCUCCUUUAUGGGGAUUUAGGGAUCCAUCAAUCACAAUCGUUCAUCGUACAUCGUGCGGUCAGUUUUCGUUAUAUACUAUUAUAUUCAAUUUUAAAUUUUAAAUUUAAAAUGAUUUUUGACCGCACGAUGUACAAUGAACCACCGUGAUUGAUGGAUCUCCCGGAUCCCCACAAAGAGGAUCCGAAGAGGAUCCCUUUCAUUUUAAUUGUAUCUUUAGCAUUAUUAUUAUUAUUAUUAUUACUAGCAAAUAGCACACACUUUGUGUGUGUGAACAACCACCCACCUCCUCUCACGUUCUCCUCAAGCGCAACUGCUUCAAUUCAUUCAAACUAUCCAAAAAACAUCAUGAUUUCACUUACCUGUAUGAACAAAUGAUGGUGGUACAAUUUUUCUUAAUAAGUGCAUAUUUUUAUCUUAUGUAAAUAUUUUGAUACAAAAUUACCAUGUUGCCCUCCUUAUGUAAAUAUUGUGUAUCAAAAGUGAGGUCAAACUAGGAAAAUUGGAAUAUGAUUGUCAUUUUGUCAAAAGGUACAAAAUUACUAUUUUGCCAUCCUCAUGUCAACAUUGUGUAUUCAAAAGUGUAGGCAAAAUUGGAAAAAAAAAGGGACAAAAACAAGCCCUCUUUUCUUAAUAGAAUAUAUAAUAAACAAACAGAUAAAUUAUAUAUAUACAUAGGGCUGGAAGGUCAAAUUUAUUAGACAUAUGGAAGAAGGGAAUUCUUCUUCUUGAGCUGCCAAAAUCAACCAUACAACUAAACUUUUUGUUAUAUCUACCUCCUAGUGGUUUUGGACGAGGAGCCAGUGGUGAAGUUGGUGGUGAUAGUAAGUUGAUUAUUGUUCUCCGUAAUCCGAUUCAAUGUUAUAUUGAGUGACAAAAAAUGAUUGCAAUUUAAGCAAGAUCCUGAUUUCUGCUCAGACCACUAUUUUUUCGAGGACAAAAACUUGAAGGGGCACUUGCCCUUAAUAAGAUUCUCCCCUGCUAUCAUUCAUUUGAUAUUGUUGUACGUCUCUAAAGAGAGACCUGUCCAUCUGAUACUCCACCCUUGUGUAACCAUUGGCCAUGCCCAGUGAAAAUUGAAACACAUGGCAUCUUGUGGUCCGUUCGAAAUACCACAGUGUCCUAUACAGGUAAAUCAGGUAAAUCAGUCUUAUUCCUCAGAGCAUUUUAGUGAUGAUAAGUUUAAAUUCUAAAAUGUCUCGUAAAAAAUUAAAUCACAGUCACCCAAUGACAAUUAACACAAUGGUCUUCAACAGAAGAAAUUUUUAAUUACAACAGGAACACAAAUAGUAUAUCACGUGUUUUAAUAAAAAUGGUAGAAAAUUUUAUUUUUUAAGUUAUUAACUUUUAGCACACAUAUCUUACUGUUUGUAUAAUAAUACGUGAUGUACUAUCUCAUAUACCGGUUAUUAAGGGUAAAAAUGUAAUAUAGUUAGUAAUAUAGUUAGGUAGUUAGUAUUUGGUUAAAGUAGUUAGGAUUUCUAUAUAAACAGUAUGUGUAAUCUUCAUUUGCUCAGUUAAUACAAAUCCUAUUUCUCUCUCUAAACUCUCUCACUCUAGAAUCUCUCUUGGUUCUCUCUAUCUUCUUCCUCUUCCUCUGUAUCAAUCCUUCAUCUUUUACAAUGUAGUUAACAUGGUAUCAGAGCCACCAGGCUCACGCCAUGGAUUCUGGUGGUUCUACUUCUCAUUAUUUUACAUAUGUUUCCCGCUUAGUUUCUUUUCCAAAUUUUCAUUAGGUGUUAGGAUAAGCGUCUGGGUGCUUCCGUGAUCAUUCUUUUAGGUUGAUUUGUUUUUGGGUUGAUUUCUUUCCGAUCAAAUUCAUGAGUCUCCUUGUGCCUGAUUGAAAGCGAGAGAUCGAAAGUUGGAGAACCGAGGCAAAGUUCUCGGCUUGUUCGACUUCGGAGCUAACACACUUGAAGAAAAUUAAGGGUUUAAGAACACGGACUUUAGAGAGAAAGAAAGAGAGAGCAGAAGUUCUCGGCUUGUUCGACUUCGGAGAAAUGGCGGCUUCACCGAUUCCAAUCCCAUAUGGGCUGAUGUUUCUGCCAUGAGGACCGUCGCGCCUUAACCCUAAGCGCGCCUUCGAUUUUGCCUACACACUGGAACAGCUGAUUUGAAAGCUCUGCUUCCCAGAUCUAGACUUCUUCAGAAUACGAAGUCGAUUCGAUCUUUUACGUGCCAUUUUCUGAGUCGUUUGAAGGCCGAUGGAUUGUUUCUUCGAAAGAUGAGUACCAAGGGGUAUGGAAACUGUCCAAGAGUGAGGGACAUGAUGAUUACGGGCUUCUGGUAAGUGAGAAGGCGAGGAAGUAUGCAGUGGUGAAAGAGAUGGACAAGGCUGUGAGCCUUGCUGAUGGAACUGUUGUCCUACAGUCUGGGUCGGGAUAUUUGAAGAACAAUGUACCAGUCAAGUGGGUUUUGCUCCUGGUCCUCCGUACACGCCUUCUUCUCCUUCGACGAUACGGACAGCAUGCUCCGCCGGAGCUCCUCCGGAAUCUCGCUCUGGUUUCGGUUCUCUCUCAGCAUUCUUGGGUCAAGAUUGAAGUUCUUAUCAGGUUCUUGAUUUCUGGGUUUUCACAGUGCACAUAAUCUGUAUGAUUAAAUGUUUCAGUAAGAAAAUGUUCACUAUUUUGUUCAUCUUUGAAUCUCUUCUGGGAUAUUAGUGUAAUAUUUGGGAUAUUUGGAUUCAAGACUAUUGAUUGUCGUGGUCAGUUUGAGUCUUCUUUGGGUAUUCAAUAAGGUGAAUUGUAGUGAUUUGUGGCUUGGUGCGAUGGGUUUUGAAGAUGGGUUCUGUUUUAAGUUUAUUUUAUGUAUCAAGUAUCUUGGGUCUUGAAGAUGAGUUUGUUAGCAUUGUUUCUGGUUUUUGUGAGUGGAGGAUGUUGUUGCCCGUGUAGAGGAUGAAAGUACUGGCUAUAUAUUACCAAACAAAUGGUUCUGAACCCCUGUUACUUGGUCAGUCUGUCAGCAAUUCGACUAAUGGUGAUGUAUCUAUCGUUUCACCCAAUCUUAGCAGUAUAAAAUGGAGAAUAAGGGGAACUGGCAGUCCCAUUUCAAUGAAUCUUGGCAGAUCAGUGUGCCAGGGCAAAGCAACGAAGCAAGCAGCAAUGCCUGUUUAUUAGAUUCAGCAAAGGUUACUGGAGUGAGUGUUCAGGUGCUAACUGAGGAGUUGUGCAGUAUAUUUCUAAUCACAGCCUGUCAUUUCAGAGUCUAACCAACUCAGUUGUUAGCAUGAAUCUACAGUAAGUCCGGUUAUACGUUAAAGUUUGAAGAAGUUGUUAACGGUAAAUCCCACGAAGGGUAAUCCCGUGGUUUGAGUAGGUAAAUCCCACGAAGGGUAAUACUACAUAGAUGUUGAUUUCAAUUGUUGAAAUUGUGAAGGCCGAUGCCAUUGUUCAAAGAAGUUGUUUUUUUUUUUUGGUAAAAUCCACAAAGGGCGAUCCCGUGGUGCUAUAGUUAAGGCCGAUGCCACACUAUAUAGUUUGUUAAUUUUCUGUUUUUGUAAAUAUUAAAGGCCGAAGCCAAGUUGAAUGAGAUUGUUGACGGUGAAUCCCACGAAGGGUAAUCCCGUAAGAAGUGUUAUACCGGCAUGAGGGUGUGCUACAACUACUUUAUAGAAGGUUGUUCUUGUGUACAACUCCUGAUAGAGGCAGCGGCAUACAGAUGUCUUUAUUUGUAAGGCAGUGGAAGAAAUUUGGACAGACAGACAGAGGUUUUUAGUCAACAGCUUCAAAGAGGUCAUGGGGUACACUUGUUUGAUUCAGUGAUCUGGGAAAGCUAUAAGCUUUGGUGAUAUGGUUUGAGUAUACGCGCUUACUCUCUGUCGUAUGGUCGUACAUCUACUUCAAGUUGUAUGGUUUGAUUCAGUGUCAUGUUUUCUACAUGACUUGCUGUUGAAGUGGUUUUGAAGGUAGUAUUCACUGUGAUGAUGUUUGAAUAGUUGCCUUGUCAGAUGGUGAUGUUGAUCAAUGGCAGAAAGAUCGUUAUUUCAAAAACCUGUGUGCGCGCAGGCUAAUCCAAAGUGUUGACUCUAGUCAAAGUGCUACAUGUGGACAGAUGUUUGGGUAUCAAUCCAAUGGUGGUUUUCCUAAAUCUACAGUUUCAGUGCUACCAUGUCUCAAUUCUUCCAAUCUCAAACUGAGUUUCCCCAGUUGAGAUUGAGGGGGAGUAUUAAGGGUAAAAAUGUAAUAUAGUUAGUAAUAUAGUUAGGUAGUUAGUAUUUGGUUAAAGUAGUUAGGAAGGAUUUCUAUAUAAACAGUAUGUGUAAUCUUCAUUUGCUCAGUUAAUACAAAUCCUAUUUCUCUCUCUAAACUCUCUCACUCUAGAAUCUCUCUUGGUUCUCUCUAUCUUCUUCCUCUUCCUCUGUAUCAAUCCUUCAUCUUUUACAAUGUAGUUAACACCGGUUAUACUGAAAAAUUUCUCCUCCAUCAGGUAUGCCUGCAUUUGCAGCAAUAACAUUUUCUUCCAAUAUUUCAUUCAUAUGAAUUUCUUAGUGUUUUUAUUUUAUUUUUAAAUAAAGCAAAUAAAGAGAUGUUGUAGCUGCAACAGGCAGGCUUUAACCUGCCAACUGCCAAGCGCAAUGGUGAUAAUAAAUCAUAAAGCAAAUUACCAAAAAAAUAAAUAAAUAAAUCGUAAAGCAAUUCGGAAAUCUGAGUCUCAAAUGAUUCAUUAAAAGCAUUUGCAGUCAACCACCACAUGCAACAAGUCCCAUCUAUAUGACUCUUGUUCAUCAACUUUUCUGCACAUUUAGCUAAACCUUCCUCUAUGCAUGCAUUGCAUCUAGCUUUCAAUUCAUGUACUGUCUUUUUCUUAUGUUAAGGAGAUUAAAUUUAUAGAUUAAAUUUUGUAAGCUAAAUAAAAAUUGAUAAGUGAAUUAUUACUUAAACAUUGAUAAACGUAUUUAUUUUUUAUUGAUGACACAUUAUUUAAUUUAUAAAUUUAAUUUCCCUCGCAUUACUUUUUUGCUUUUCCUCUUUUCCUUAAAGACCUUGAAUUAACUACAAACCAUCAUUUUGACAUAAUUUUCACACGACUGGUGUUAUAUGGAGAACAUUUAUUGAUCACAUUACUAAUCAUCUAUUUAGUAUGAGUUCGUAUGAAUGAAUCGAACUAAGCUUUGUUUAUUAAAUCGGUCUUCAAUGACGUGGUCAGUAAAUACGUAUGAUAUAAAUAACUGAUCAAAUACCGAUCAUUUGUCUAGUACAAGUCCAGCGUAAAUGAAUCAAACUCACUUCUGUUUAUUAAAUCUGUCUAAACAGCGUGUUUAGUAAUUAUGGUAUAGAUAAUUGAUCACAUUGACCACAUAACCAGUCCGAGUCCUGCAUACUUGUACACACGAGUUGAAUAUAUCAUCUUUGUUAUUUAGGUCUGUCUUCAACAUGUUAGUAAAUCUGGUAACGAAUCACAUACGUCAGUCUUUCUAAGGCAAGUCCUACGUACAAUUCAAACACUUUUGUGUUUAUUAGAUUUGUUUUUGACAACGUGCCUAGUAAAUAUGGUAUAAAUAACAUUAAUUUUGGAUUAUUAAAUGAGAGCAAACGAUAAAGGCAUAAAAUACCAAAAAGAAAAGCACAAAACAUUUAACUCAAUAACUCUAGAUGAUUUUAAGUUCAAACACAACCACCUAAAUAACUCAUGGAAUUGAACAAAAAGCUAUAUAUGUUUACGACCCAAAUAUUAUCCUUUUAUUCACAACAUAAUAUAUAUCUUUGUUCAAUGACAAACAAAGAUCAUACAUACCUGAACCACCAAGUACAAUUAACCAAUUUAGUACAUAAUUAUAAACACUGAAAAUUAAGGGGACACUUUGAGAUCCAUAUGGUAAUCUCCCUUUGGUAUACAUAAGCAAAUAUAUGAUUAAUUUGCAUGCUUGUAGGGAUAUGCAUGCCUUAAAAGUCUCUUAAUUAGGAGAGCCAUAUGAUCCGGGCAGAUCAGGCAACAGGUUUGGGUUCAGAGAAGUGCUGCCGCCACUGCUGCUGGUGGUGGUGAUGGGGUUGUUGCCCAUGGCCCACAAAGCGCUGUCAGAGGCUGCUACUGCAGAAGAAGAAGCAUUCAAAGAUGGUCUGUUGACGAAGCUUUGGGGGGGCCACUGAUCAUUCUCAGAUGGGUAUGGACCAGCUUGAUCCACCAGAUUGUUGCUCCUACCGCCGCCCAUCUGAUAAAACUGCUGACGCUGCUGUGGCUGCGUCGCCACCAAAGGAGCUGAGAGAUUGAACCCCUGCAGCAGGCUCACGUUCGAGGCAGGAUCAUGACCACCCCCAACAUUGAACGGCUGAGAUUGAUUCAGAGAUUGAAGCCCUGCAAGAGAUGACAAGUACCCAUGAGAAGCACCAGGGUAGUACUGAUGGUGAAUAGCCAAACCACCGCUCGGGUUUUCCGUGGACAUCCCAACGGAGCCGCCGCCAAUUCCCAGAGUGUUCUGCAUGUCCUGCUCUUUCUGUGGUGGCUGCGGCUGCUGAGGCUGCACGGUCCUAGCUGCAGACGCCGAGGAGGAACCCGCCUUGCCGCGCUUCCCCUUUCGGCAGCCGCCUCCGACGGGGACAUUGCGGAGGGUCCCACCCUGAGUCCAGUACCUCCUACAAGCCUUGCAAAAGUACCGCGGCUGAGAGAGGCUGUAGUUGUUGUAGUAGCAGAACUUGGUGUUCAUGGAGUGGCACCGCGGGCACCUGUGUGGCUGCUGGUUCUCCUGCUCCGCCGCCGCCUUCAACCGCUGAUCCUGGUUCUGCUGCUCGUUUUGCUCACCCCCCUCCUGCUGCUGUUGCUGCAUGUUGCUUUCUCUCUUAUGAUGAUCUGAAAUCGUUUGAUGGGUUGAUGUGAGUCUUCAAGCGACAUGCAGAGGUUUAUAAAGAGGAGGAAGAAAUUGGAUUGUUGUGAGGGUGUGCUCAACGUGUCCGACGCUAAUCCUUCAGAAUCUCUCGACACUCAAAACUGCCAAAACUAACGGCGAUCGUUAUCGUUAUCGUUAUCUUGCUCUCUCGCUGCAUGCCGUGUGUGCCUUCCUCUUGUUUCCACCCACCCACCCUGGUUACAACCAAAACCAUCGGCCAUUCAUUUCAUCAUUCACAUUGAAUUAAUGAAAAUUAAAGCCCAAGUGAUAUUUGAAAUUUAUGGAAAAUAUGGUCUUGAAAUCGAGCGAUAUCCGCGAGGAUUUAUUUUUCUCCUUCUAAAAAUGGUGUCAGAGAGUUUGAGACGAUGCGGUUUGACUUGCUUCUUUUUUCUAGAAUUUUGGACGAGUGGCGGAUAUGCAGAAAACCAGAAACAGGAGAGAGAGAGAGAGAGAGAGAGAGAGAGAGAGAGAGAGAGAGAGAGAGAGAGAGAGAGAGAGAGAGAGAGAGAGAGAGGUUUUAGCAAUCUAUGGGAGCUGGAGAUAAUACCAGAAACGAUUUUCGGUCACAUAACAGCAUCUAUCUCAUCAAAAUACAGGAAACCCAAUACAGAAAGAUUCAACCUUCACCGGAAAACGGUCCAAAGACUCGGCCUUUCCGUGCCGAUCUGCAAAAAUUUUCAACCCGUUGAACAAUAUCACCAUAACAAACCCAGAAAAUUAUGAGAAGAAAAAAUGAGAGUUCAACUGUACUGGGUUUUUAGAUAUAUGGAGGUGUAGGGUAGGAGAUGGACCACAGUAACAGGAGAAUAAGAUAGACCAGAGUCUGCAGAGGCUGCUGGUCUGGGAAGAACAGGGUGGCUGCUGGCUAGUGGCGGCCGUCGAUAGGUUUUCGUCUGCUGUGUCAGACACUCAAACUUCAGCAACUACUAUUUCUUCUCUCUCUCUCUCCUCUGCCUAUCUACUACAAUCAUACAUACCCUCGAGUCUUCUAUUCACAAUUUUUCUUCUUAUUUUAAUUUUGUGUGUUUUUGUUGGGCGGAUUUCUUCUCUUGUCUCUGACAUCUCACCAAGCUAAUUGGAUGCCAAUUCUACUCAGAAAGACAAUCAUGUCCCCGUCACAUUGAAAAAAAUUUCGUUGAUCAGAACAUUUCCAUGGUGACUUUUUCUUUCUCUCUCUUCUAUUUUCUUGUAAACUACUCAAGUACUGGAUUAGUUAAAGUCCAUUGUCAUUCUUCAACAAACUACUUUUGUCCAGUCGGUGUCAAACUUAUGUUGACAUUCCAAGAGGAAAAUAUAUUUACUACUUGUGCAUAUUAUCAAGCUAUAGAAUUAUGAACUAGUUUAGCUAAGGGGAAAGUCAUGGUCAAGUUAUCAUUUGUUGACAUAGUUAUGAUACCAAAUUGUUGUAGGUUUAUGGUGAUAUGAUCAGAAUAAUUUCAUAAAAUUUGGCUUAAUUGGUAUUAUUGAAUUAUAUAACCUAUGUUUUUAAUAAGCAAUAGUCUAGACUAAAUUCAUCUAAAAUACGAGCAUAAGAAUUCGAAUUUGAGUAUAAAAGAAGGAGCACACUGUUUUGCUCUAGUGCCAACUUGAAUAAAUUGAAGCUAAAAAAUCUAUUUCCCAUUUAAGAAUAUAAUUGUAUGUGAAUGGCAAAAAAAUAAACAGUUUCCAUAUAAAACCUUCACAUUUAAAUCUUUCCAAAAAAAAAAAAGUCGGCACACGUCCAAGUAUGUUCGAAUCUCUCUUAUCUCGUUUACCUAAAACCGUCACCGUUAAAAAUGUUAACGUCAACGUACAUUCGAAUUUGUCAUCUAGUUGAUCAAAAAGUGUGUCAAAAAACCGAAUCUCUCUUUUUAUCGUUGAUAAAAAAAAUUGUGCAGAAAAAUAUAAUACCACGUGGUGAUUCGAAACCAGAGUAGAUUUGACGCCACACGCGUUAUUAAAUAGGAUGAAAAAUUAAUUAUGUGUCAAUGUGUAAGAGAUUAUACUAAUAAUGAUUAUUAAUUUAGCACAACAAAAGUAAGAUUUUAUUGGGUUUUAUAUGUUAGGCCAUCUCCUACACACCAAACAAUUUGGACUCAAAUAUUAUAUGUGAGUUUAAAUAUAACAUUUUCCUAUCCAAUGCAUUCAGAAAGUUAUAACAUCUUAUAUAAUUUUUUAGUUAACUUGAAGCUUACAUUUUGGUUUCAAUCUAUGUUUACAAAAUUUUAGUCUAAGGUGCAGCCCACGUUUACAAGGAAAGUUAUUAUUUCAAAUGUGACAGUCCGUCUCUAAUUUUACGAUUAUAUAGAUUUUAAAAGUGUGAUUUUACGAAAAUACCCUAGAGGUGAAGUUUUUUUUGGCUUUCGUUGAUCAACGUAUAGUGAGACGUACGAAAUUCUUUUAGCGUAUUCAUGAAGUACUCGACGAUAUAGGCGCAUAAGCGCAAGCAACAGUGAAUUUGAAGUUACGGUUAAAGUUCUACGGAAUCUACAAAUCCGAAAAGUCUGUGGGUAAGGACACUAUUUAUUAUUUUAUAUUUUAUACAUUUCUCAUAAUUAUAUUGUUUCUAUUUUAAUAUUGUUGAUAGAAAAUUUGGAGGGAUGAGGGAAUCAUGGAAGAGGAAAAACGGAGAAGAUAGAGAGAGAGAGCCCCAUGGAUUGGGGGAAACAGAACGAAUCAAGAAGGAGAGAAGAGUGGAGGGCCAAUCUGAGAGGAGGAAAAUGAGGGAAAUGAGAGGAGAAGAGAGGCAGCAAAUUGGGUCCUGGACGACCCAUCUCGUCGACCCUAUUGCAGACCCGGUUUUGGGUAGCUAAAUCCGGCGUUCCUCAUCAAUUUUUUCGACGAAUUCUACCUAACCCUUAACUGCAUAUGAAACCCUAACCUCCAUUCUCUCAUUUCUACUUAAAAAUCUGAGGGUUUUGGCCUCUAUUUCGUGAGGAACAAAGCUGACGGCUUUAAAGACACUCGGCGGUAAUUCGCCGUAUUCUGCAACCCUUCCCGUUGAUCUCCACCAUCAAACAGCUUCUCUGAAGUUCAGGAACAUAACCCAGGCAAUGAUGGAGGCGUUGGAGCACGUACGGACGUCGAAUCGAAGCACACCAUUUAUAGGGUUUUUGGCGGGUUUGAGUGAAAUUGGAACAUUUCCCGGCCAAAUUGGACUUGGUCACGGUAUAAAACUUGCUAUACUCUUGGAGAUCUUCAUUUCUGUAAAAUUUGGGAAUUUUUUUAAAUAGUUGGAUUUUCCGGCUAGUCGGAGCGACCGACCACCACACACGGCGGCGCAUGGCCAUGGGGUCAUCAAUGUUAUUCUUAGGCUAAAUUAGAUACCUUGAAUUCAGUUCUGACAAUAGUAUGACGCAGGUUGAUCGUUAGAACUUAAAUUCUCUACAAUACGUGAUUAAGUCAUUAUAUGAAUCGAUAAUCUAACCGUUGGAUCGUCAUCAAACUUUAAUAAGUUAUUUUUCGUAAUAUUUGAGUAUUUACGGAUCAGGAAUCCGUCGCACGGAUCUUUCCAAAUUGGAUUUGUAAGUUCGUAGAAUAAAACGUUAACAGCCACUUGGUUUUGGCAAUUGGCAAAGAUCCAACCAUUGGAUCGUUCCGAAAUUUUAAGAUAUUGUUCUAAAAGUAUAAUGUGGAUCUUUGGAAAUUAUGGAUUUGAAAUAUGUGAUGUGGAUCUUCCGGAUCGAGUUAUGUAGGGUUGUGGACCCUACCGUCGAUAUUUGACCGACGGUUGACUUUUGGUCAAUUGGUCUUAAAUCAUUCUAGAACGUCCUUAAGGAUGUGUUUUAGGUAAGUUACGUGUUAUAUCGAUAAGAAUUCUAAGACAUUAAUUGAUAAUUAUUCCAGGCGACGAUGGUUCGUGACGCCUUGAUAUUAGGUUAAAGAAUUGUAGCGCAGACUUCAGGUGAGGGGUCUUUUUCUUUUUAUCGUAUAUAUAUGAGCGAUAAUUCCACAAUUGCUUUUAAAUUGUUAUAUGCAUUUUAUGCCAUGUUAUAUAUAUAUAUAUAUAUAUAUAUAUAUAUGUUAAAAUACUAUGGUAUGGUUGAGGUUUAGAUUGCAUUAUUGUAUAUCUAUAUGCAUAUUAUCGACAUAUAAUUACUGUAAAUGCUUUAAAGUACUAAGUUGAACUACGAAUGACUUGAUCCAGUUUGAGGGUACGUAGACAGUCUAACAGGACAGUUAGAUGUAGCCAUAAAACAAUCUGAAUUUAACAUGGUACUUAAUUUCUUUAAGGUAAGAAGUUAUGAUGGUUAACAACGUAGAGAUUAACCAUGAUUUUAUUUUGGCCUAUCACUGGGUAUAGUUCUGAUUAAGAAUGUUGGGAUGUUAAAGUGGUUAUGCCAAAUGAUGCUGCGGACGCCAGGUAAGCUUCAGGUGAGUACAUGUUGAUGGUAGUGACUGUAGUGGGUAUGAUUGUGUUGUGAGGUAUUUAGAGCUUAUUGUCCUGCACCCCGGUGUUAGUGCUCUGCUCGAGGACAUGGCCUAGCUUUCACGUGAUCGUUCACCUCCCGCACCACACGCUCACUUUGGAUCCAAGGUAGGUGCCAGCCUGUCGUACAAACCACAUUAGGUGGUUCUGACUCGUAGGUGACUUGCGAUACUUCGCACAGCCUUCACGUGAUCGUAGCAAUUGAGCGUAUUUAUUUACACCUAGCAUGUCGUACAGAUCACUUUAGAUGGUUCCGACUCGUGUGCAAGAAUUGAUUGAUGAGAUAUGGAUGAGUCGUACAAGUCACUAUAGGUAACUCCAACUUACGUGCUAGCAUUGAUUGAUGAGAUAUGGAUGAGUCGUACUGGUCAGUAUAGGUGACUCCGACUUACGUGCUAGCAUUGAUUAAUGAAAUAUGGGUGAGUCGUAUAGGUCACUAUAGGUGACUCCUACUUAUGUGCUAACAUUGAUUAAUGAGAUAUGGGUGCAGUCGUACAGGUCACAUUAGGUGACUCCGACUUGUGUGCUAGUAUGGAUUAUUAAGUACCUGAUUAUUUAUAUUGCUGAUGAGAUGCGGUGUCGUGGUAUACUUAUGGUUUUACUGUUAGUAUACAAUGGAUUUCAGACUUAUACGUAGUAUGAUUUUAUAGAAACUAAACAGGUGUUACAACGAGGGGUUAUAACGUUUAGAAAUCUUUAUUAAAACUUUGUUUUCAUGCCCACUCACUCUAGUUUGUUUUUCAUCCCUUCAGGUUUUAUUAGCUAAGCUUUCUUAUCAACGAGGAUUCGUGGCAAAUUUUGGUAUUGGAAAUUAUCUUCAUUGGUAUGAUCCUUAAUCCACUCUACAAUACUGUACUUAUGCUCUGACAUCACGUGUGAAAUGAGUUUAUUUCCGGUCCCAACGCACUCUCGUAUUUAGGCACUUUUAGGUUUAAAAUUUAUUCACAUUUUUCCUCAUCACUACACUUUAUGGGUUCGUCACCUUCCAGGUGUCGGCCAGAACACUUCGAUUCGGAGUCCUACUAGACUUUCCGGGUUGGGGUGUGUCAUACGAAAAUUAGUUUUAUUCUUUUUGGUUUUGGUGAAUUAAUUAGCUUUAUGUUUGGUAAUGAAAAUUACAUAGAAAUAGGUAUAUAAGGAGUGGCAAUUUAGACAAUUCAGUAUGAUUGUAUAACUUAGAUUGAAGUGUGUGUGAGAAAUGCGUAUUUGGAUGUGAUGUGUGUCGAGAUAUAUUAGGAUGAUCUCUGAGAGAAUGUAACUGGCACGUGCCCCUUAGCCCUAACCACGUAAUUACGUAGCACAAGUAGAAGAAGAAGAGUUAGCAGAUGGACCAGAUGGUGACGGUGGCGUCCGUUAGGGGUUGCAACUGCUCCCCCACACCCACAGCCCCUCCACUUUUGGACACAUUCACUCACUCCACAUCGUCCUCAAAGCUCUCUUUGUGGUGGGAUAAUGCUACUUCGUAUCGAUGGGGUUGAUUUUUUAGUGUGACUAGAACAUAAAACGGUAUGUUACAUGUCAACAUAUACAAUUAGAAUGACACUUGAAAAAAAAAUUUCUUUAAAUUAUGUAAUGAUAUGUGGGAAUGAACACUGAAAAAUUUCUCGUAUUUAUGCCAUGCCACAUAUUACAAUUUGUGAUUUCAAUAUAAUUGUCGGCUUACUGUUAUUGGAUGACAUUCCUAUUAUGUUUUUGGUUUUUUUAGUUGAGGAUUAUAUACCCACAUUCUCAGUCAAAUAUUUUAAUGUUUCCUUAUUUAAUUAAUUAAGGAUUAAGUACUUAAAGCCCUUUAAUUUUUUGGUGUCAUUUCAAAUUAGUUUCAAUCUUUUUAAACAUUCCAAAUAAGUACCUAACCUAUUGAAAAUGUCACAUCCAUAAGUCCUAGUUAAUUUUUCUAUUAAAUGUACUUGUGGCAACAACAGAUUCCACUUAUUUGCUUACUUGGACUCUAAAAUAAUAAUAAACAUAACUUCAAAAAAGACAUGAAUAUGGAUAAAUAAAAAUAAUUAAACAAAUUCACGAAUAAAAUGGAAAACAAAAGGAAGAUCGAUAAAUCUACUAACAAAGAAGAGGGUUAAAACAUUCAGAUAGGGUUUCAAUGAGCAUGUUUAUGUUCAUGUGAUUUGCUCAUCCGCCAAUUUUUGGCUAGUAAAGCUUUCACUUCUUUGUAAGUGGUCAAGAUGGUGGUGGCCGCAUCAUGGCAGUCUAUACCAUUCUAUACCAUUUCAACAACCUCCUUGACCGUCUAUUGAUAUUGGAGACAAAAUAACUCUAAUGUAACAAAAAAAUUUAAUUGGAGCUUCACGGAUGAGACAUUUUCAAUAGUUUGAGUACUUGUUGAGAAUGUUUUAAAAAGUUGAAACCAAUUUGAAAUGACACUAAAAAGUUGAGAGAUUUUAAGUAUUUAAUCCUUUAAUUAAUAAAAUAAUAAUAAUUUAUCUAUUUAUUGAAAAAAAAAAUAAUCGUUAAAGAGCGACAUUCAAAAUAAAUUUCAAAAUUAUCGUGAAACAUUACAAAUUGAGAAGUAAAGCCGAAAAGAGAGAACAAAAAUGUUCGAAUAAGAAGAUUGCUGACAUAACGUUGAAAUCUAACUCAUGCAGUUUACUAAUUAUAGUAAUUUUUGAACCCAACACGAGUUGACUACGUCACUACGACAAUUAAAAUUUAUGAACAUGCUUUCACCUUCUACAGUUACAUCAAAAUGUUGAAAUUAAACUUGACGACGUUAAAUUAAGAACCUAAAUUCAGUUGAGGAGGAUUCAGCACAACAGGAUGUACAGUUUACCAACAGCUUCAUACAUCAUCCUCUCCUUAACUCGGCCGGUAUUCUCCUAUGUGGAUUUGGAUCCUCUACGAGGCAACUGGUCGGGAUCCUCUGACCAGUGUUAGUGGACCCUUGGAUUUAUCCAACGGCUAAAAUUAUUAUAACUUUUAGAGAUGCCCAUAUUUGUAGCCGUUGGAUAAAAAUUCAAUAGUCCACUAACACUGGUCAGGAGGAUCCGACCAGUUGCUUGCGAGAUAAUCCCUCCUAUGUAUCUCAAAGUGGGCCCAGUUUUUAAGGUUGUGGGGGUUUACAAUAUCAUGGUGGGUCGUUGACCCGUUCAUUGUUGGACUUGGUUCAAUCUGGCCUGGCUGUUAAUUUCUCUUGGGUCGAGCGAUGCACUAUCAAUUCAUCCAAAGCCCAUUGAUUUGGCUCUCUCCCUCUUCUUACCUGCCCUUCGAAAAAAAAGUUACCGCUAUCUAGAGGGUGCUAUGUUUACUUCUCACACACUAAUUUAAUUUAUAGAUCACUAAUUUAAUUUAUGUAUUUUGAUCCGACGGUCAAAAAAUUGGAAAUUGAGAAGGAAACAAGUUAUUCACCGAUGUUUAAAAAGAUGGUGCUAUCCACAUAUUUGUUUUAACUUUCAUACAUCCAUGUUAAUAUAUGUCAAGUGAUCUCCAAUGGAUACGCCAUAUAUGAAGUGGCAUAUAAGUUAUUUGACUCCUUACUUUCUAGCUUCUUUUUUUUACAGCAAACAAAGAAGAAGUCGAAUAUAUUUAAUUUAAUUUUUUAAUACAUGGAUCCCAUUAACAAUAAAAAAUGUGUUGUGCCUUUGCAUGACGGCAUGAGUUCGAACCUCAUCGGUGGUUAAUCUAACAUUUAACUUACGACCGCUAUUGUUUCACUCAAAAAAAAAAAAUUUAAUUUUUUCACUCCGCUCCGAAGCCUGAAUUUUUUUUAAAAUUGAGUGUGAAAAGUAAAAAAAACUUGAAGAACAUCACUUUAUAUGAAUUUCAUAGUUGUAUACAACUAAAUUUUUAUGAAAAUUUAAAAUUAUGCGUGUAAAGUAAAACGGGUAUUGAGAACACCACUUUAUAUAAAAUCCAUAGUUAUAUAUACAAAAUAUAUUCUCAAAAUAAUAUCCUUCGACCCAUAGACGUUAUUUAUGUUAUCCAUAAAUAUGGUAAAUUGAGUCAUCGUUAUGUUAUUUAUGUUAUACAUAAAUACUGUAAAUUGGCAAUACUAUAAAUUGAGCCAUCAUUAUUUCCAGUUGAAUGCAUCCGAAUUUCUACAUUCGUCCUCUUUGAUAUUAAGAAACUAAAGUUAGAGUUGUAAAAUUUACAUUUCAAAAGCCAAAGAAAACAGAAAGAUCAAAACCCUAAUGCUACUUAAAAUAUGUCAUCCCUGAUUUAUUAACUACAAGUAAACAUUAACCUUCCAACUCCUUCCAUCAUAUCCAGCAAAGUUCCAUUCAUCCAACAUCAAUAUUUCUUCACGUCAUCUUUAGUAGGCCUCCGAAUCCGCUUCCUAACUUCGACAACAUUCCCCUCCACAUCCACUAUCUCCACAACCCCCACAUCCUCAUCCACCACCUCCACAACAUCCCCCUCCACCGCCACCUCAUCUUCGGAAUCCGAUGAAGUCCCCACCACCGUCUCCUUGAUCUUAUGCCCUGUCUCCUUCACCGCCCCCCACGCCCCCUACACCGUGUCCUUCGCAGUCUCUGCCGCCUUGGUCGUCCCUUCCUUCACCUUAUCUGUGUUGGAACCAAGAAGUAUGGACAUUGAAUAUUGUAUAAUAAACUCAAGCACAUGCAGCACGGGCAGCAUAUAUUCUUGUUCUGUCAGCUUUCUAUCUCCACAUCAUGUGUGGUCUUCGACAAAGACAAGCACGGGCAGCAACUCUUGAAUAUUGUACAAUAAACUCAAGCACAUGCAGCACGGGCAGCAUAUAUUCUUGUCCUGUCAGCUUUCUAUCUUCACAUCAUGUGUGGUCUUCGACAAAGACAAGCACGGGCAGCAUGGAAAAGGUUAUGGAGCUGUUAGUAUUAUAAGUCCUCUCAGUUUUUUAUCUUUGUGUUGUCCCAAGAGUUUUGUAUAGGGAUGGGUUUGUAACCGGUUCUUUACUACUCAUAUAUAUGAGUUAGUUGUUAACUCUUACAACACAUGAAAUACAUAUAUUUUUGAACAUAAAAAUCUACAUGGUAUCAGAGCGGGUCCUUCUUUAACCUGUCUCUGGCCAUUUCUUUCCGCUGCUUCUCUCCUUCAACCUUGAGCCAUGGCUGAAGAAGAUUCAGUAAAUGUUGAGGAUAAAACCUCCCGUAAUUCUUGUUCAAAUUUUUCAGACACUGAGGUUAACACCAAUCAGCGUUUGUGUUCAGCCUUGCUGAAUGAGUUCAACUACCUACCUUGGUCUUGUGCAGUUUCACUUGCUCUAGGAGGAAAAGGAAAAAUUGGUUUUAUAAAUGGAAGCAUCGAAGCUCCUGAUAUCACCUCACCAACCUAUGAGACUUGGCUCUGCAAAGAUCAAUUCGUCAUGUCCUUACUUCUCAAUACUAUGGAGAAGCAUGUUGCAGAAAUUUUUAGCUACUCAGAGUCCUCACAAGAUUUGUGGAACUCGGUGAAGGACAUGUAUGGAAAUCAAAACAAUUAUGCAAGGGUGUUCCAACUGAAGAAAGACAUUGCAUGCAUUCAACAAAAUGGGAAGUCCUUUGUACAACACCUUGGCAGGCUCAAAACCAUGUGGAAUGAACUGGAUAUGUAUCUUCCACACACCACAGAUGCAAAUACGCUACUAAAGAGAGGGGAGGAAGAUAAGAUAUACCAACUCUUGGGAAGCUUAAGUUCUGAGUACGAGGAUCUCAGAAGCCAUAUACUUAUGAGUCAAGAACUGCCAACAUUCAAAAGUGUGUGUGGUAUUGUCCAACGUGAAGAAGCUAGGAAGAAAGCCAUGAAUGGUGAGUCUAGCUCAAGGCCAACUGAAGCUCUAGCCUAUGUUGCAAACCACAAAAUAUACAAAGGUAAGAAUUCCCAUCUCAAGUGUACCUACUGUAAUGGUGUUGGUCACGUGGAAGAAAAGUGUUGGAUCCUUCAUCCCGAGUUAAAGCCCAAAUUUACCAAAGAUGGGAAGAUGAUUCCAUCAAAACCUUCACAAACAAGCCAUUUCAAGAGUCAUCAUGCAGCAAACGUCACCUCUGGGGUUUCUUUUGGAUCCAUGGACUUCACUACAAGUCAUGUGACACUUAUAAAAGAAUUUGUUGCGUACUUGCAAACCAAGGAUCAUGGGAAUACUGCAUCAAACUUACAAAAGGAGGAUGGAGAACACGCUGCCAUGCUGGGGCAGUUUGCAGGAUUUCUUGCCAAUAACAAAUCUGCAGAACAAGGAGAGGUUUCAGGUAUUCUCAAUGCUUUCUCCACUGCAUUACAAACAAGCACUGAAUAUGAUUGUUGGAUAAUUGACUCAGGUGCCACUGAUCACAUGACAAACAAACUUUCAAAUCUGCAUAAUUUUCAAGCAUUCAAAAACCCCUCACUAGUGUCAGUUGCAUAUGGAAAAAAUGUGUCAGUUUUGGGUAAGGGAAAAGCUAGUAUACUCACAAACAAUAAUGAGUCAUUAUCCCUAUAUGUUCCCUCAUUUCCUUUUCAAUUACUUUCAGUAGGAAAGAUAACAAGCUCCCUAAACUGCCAUGCCAUUUUCUCACCAAACAACGUCGUUUUUCAGGAUGUCAUCACCAAGAAAGUGAUUGGUGAAGGGUUCUUCCUUAAUGGUCUCUACUACUUGUGCAAAAACUCAGUCAUGCCUAAAGCGUUUCAAGCUGGAACCAAGUAUUUUGAACAUCAACAACUUUGGCACCAAAGACUUGCUCACCCAUCUGAACUUGUUUUGUCAAAAUUGUUUCCCGGUUUUUGUCAAUCACCCCUUGAGUGUGAAACAUGUCAUUUUUCAAAGUCAGUCAGACUACCUUUUGUCACUUCUGUUUUUAAGACAUGUAAACCAUUCGAGUUAGUACACACGGAUGUUUGGGGACCUACAAUUGAAUCAAUGGAUGGUUACAAAUAUUUUGUCAUAUUUGUUGAUGAUUUCACUCGUACUACCUUUCUAUACCUUAUGAAAUCAAAAAGUGAGGUUUUCUGCAUAUUUAAAGAUUUCCAUAAACUUGUACAAACUCAAUACAACUCAAACAUUAAGGUGCUUAGGUCAGAUAAUGGCACUGAGUUUCUGUCCAAUAACAUGAUUCAGUACUUGAGUUCACAAGGGAUUGUUCACCAAACCAGUUGUGUAGGGACACCCCAACAAAAUGGGGUCUCAGAAAGGAAGAAUAGAGAUCUGCUUGAAAAAACUCGAUCUCUAAUGCUGCAUAUGAAUGUUCCCAAAAGAUAUUGGUCACAUGCUGUUCUCACUGCUACCUAUAUAAUUAAUAGACUUCCAAGUAAAGUAUUGGGGUUCAAAACUCCACAUGAAACUCUAAACAAUAAGGCAGUCAACUUGGCGCAUCUUAAAACGUUUGGUUGCAGCUGCUUUGUCCAUGUGCAAGCACCUCAUCGUGAUAAAUUGGAAGCUAGAGCAGUGAAAUGCAUUUUUGUUGGGUACUCACCAACUCAGAAGGGAUACAAAUGUGUUGACCCUAUCACAAAGAAAUGUAUUGUGUCAAGGGAUGUUCGUUUUGAUGAAACAAUGCUCUACUAUAAAAGCAAUGAGACUCAUAUUAAUGAGAAUGAGACCUUGAGUGAUUUGCUUCCCUUACCAAGAGUCACUGACCAUGAUACACUAGCAGAAGAUCACAUCUCAAAUGGUCAAAUCAUUGAAGGAGUUCAAGAUGACUUGAUUCCAAGUGUGGGCCAACUACACUCUCAAUCCAUCAGUGAGCAUACAGGUGAAGUUCAGACAGGCCCAAGCCCCUCUCUACCAACAACACCACUUCUAGAAGCUAGGAGAUAUCCCAUUCGAACAAGACAGCCACCAGCUAAGAUGAUGGACUAUGUUACUUAUGCCUCACGGCAUCCUCACACUAAAACUCUCAAUUACAACUGUUUCUCAAAGUCUCACACUGCAUUUCUCACUGAAGUUGCAAAUAAUGUUGAACCUAGCACCUUUCAGGAGGCAAACCAAUCAUCUAAGUGGAGGAAGGCAAUGUCAGAGGAAUCAAGCCUUGAGUGACAACAAAACCUGGAGUCUUGUUCAUUUACCACCUGGAAAAAAGGUUGUUGGCAGCAGGUGGAUCUUCAAGGUAAAAUUCAAAGCUGACGGCUCAAUUGAAAGGCACAAAGCCAGACUCGUUGCACGUGGAUUCACUCAAACUUUUGGAGUGGAUUACAAAGAAACCUUUGCACCAGUAGCCAAGAUGAACACUGUCAGAGUUCUCUUGUCUGUGGCAGUUAAUUCUGGUUGGUCCUUAUAUCAAAUGGAUGUAAAAAAUGCAUUUCUACAUGGAGAAUUACAAGAGGAAGUGUACAUGCAACCUCCACCAGGUUAUAUUCAAGCCCAAAAUGGUAUGGUCUGCAAACUUCACAAGGCUAUUUACGGUUUAAAGCAAUCUCCAAGAGCUUGGUACGCCAAGCUCAGCUCAGUGUUGGAAAGGGCUGGUUUUCUUAGAAGCAAUGCAGAUUCAUCUCUAUUUGUUCGAACAGGAAUGAGAGGAAGAUUGAUGAUUCUUAUCUAUGUGGAUGAUCUCAUAAUCACAGGUGAAAGUGAAACUGAGAUUGCAGCCUUAAAGCAAUCUCUACAAGAGACCUUUGCCAUCAAAGACCUUGGGAGGCUUAAGUAUUUUCUUGGCAUAUAAAUGGCUACCUCAUCCAAAGGACUAUUCCUAAAUCAAAGAAAAUAUGUAACUGAUCUUCUCUCAAGGAGACAAAUCUUCUUGAUUGCAAACCUGCAACCUCUCCAAUUGACAGCAAGCUCAAGCUUACUAUGUAUGGGGAAGCUCUUCAUAAUGUGAGUUAUUAUCAAAGACUGGUUGGUAAGUUAAUUUACCUCACCAUUACUCGUCCUGAUAUCACCUAUGCAGUGGGCAUAGUUAGUCAAUUUAUGCAUUCUCCCACCGUUGAUCAUCUCAACAUUGUCAAACGGAUCCUUCGUUAUCUUAAAGGGUCCAUUGGACGGGGAAUUCUCAUGCAAAAUAACCAAUCCACAAGCAUAAGUGGUUACACUGAUGCUGAUUGGGCAGGCAAUGCCAUUGAUAGAAGGUCCACGACAGGCUAUUGCACGUUUGUUGAAGGCAAUAUUGUAACUUGGAAAAGCAAGAAGCAACAGGUCAUUGCUCGGUCUAGUGCAGAAGCUGAGUAUCGUGCAAUGGCAGCCACUGCAUGUGAGCUUAUUUGGCUCAAAGGUCUUCUAUCUGAUCUAGGGUUUCAUUGUUCCAACUCCAUACCACUUAUGUGUGACAAUCAAGCAGCCAUGCACAUUGCUGCUAAUCCUGUCUUUCAUGAAAGAACGAAGCAUAUAGAGGUGGAUUGUCAUUUUGUUCGAUCUCAGGUUCAAUCUCAGGUCAUUCACACUGUGUUCACUCGCAGUUAUGAUCAAUUGGCUGACUUAUUCACCAAAGCACUACCAUCUGCUCAGUUUCAUCGUCUUCUGGGCAAGCUUGGCUCAAUAAAUCCCCUUGAUCCAGCUUGAGGGGGGGUGUUGGAACCAAGAAGUAUGGACAUUGAAUAUUGUAUAAUAAACUCAAGCACAUGCAGCACGGGCAGCAUAUAUUCUUGUUCUGUCAGCUUUUUAUCUCCACAUCAUGUGUGGUCUUCGACAAAGACAAGCACGGGCAGCAACUCUUGAAUAUUGUACAAUAAACUCAAGCACAUGCAGCACGGGCAACAUAUAUUCUUGUCCUGUCAGCUUUCUAUCUUCACAUCAUGUGUGGUCUUCGACAAAGACAAGCACGGGCAGCAUGGAGAAGGUUAUGGAGCUGUUAGUAUUAUAAGUCCUCUCAGUUUUUUAUCUUUGUGUUGUCCCAAGAGUUUUGUAUAGGGAUGGGUUUGUAACCGGUUCUUUACUACUCAUAUAUAUGAGUUAGUUUUUAACUCUUACAACACAUGAAAUACAUAUAUUUUUGAACAUAAAAAUCUACAAUCUGCAACCGUUUCCGCCACGUCCUCUGUUUUCUCCUUCAUACUCCAAACAUUCUCUUUUGUCUUCUCCUUCGCAUGCUCUGCUGUCUCCGCGGCCUUAUGAUUCCCCUCUUUUGCCUUCUCUGCUGCAGUCUCCGCCAUGUUCUUGGUCUUCUCCUUCAUCCCCUGAACAUUUUCUUUCGUCUUCUCCUUUGCAUGCUCCGCCGUCUUCCCCGCCUUACGAGUACCCUCUUUUGCCUUAUCAGCUACAGUGUCGUCCAUGUCUCUGGUUUUCUCCUUUGUUUCGUAACCGUACUGUUUUGCUUUCUCCUCUGGACUCUUCGUCUUCUCCUUCCUUUCAUGUGCGUAAUCCUCGAGUUCAUCUGCUGGAUCCUUUCCUCUGUAAUUCACAUCCUCAUUCCUCCGCUUCUUGUCAUAAAAUUCCCAGUCAGACCUCGAAUCUCUAUUCCCUUUCGGUACAUUUCGACCCUGAAUUUCAAACAUGUACUGGAUCAAAUUAAAUUUCGAAAUCCAUAACGAAAAAUUUUCUGAAAAUUUAACUUUCCCCCUCCAAACUCAUUCUUUCUAGCCUCUAGCCCAUCAUAUAAUAUUUAUCCGAAUAAAACCCAAUGAUUAGGAUUAAACUAAGCAACUUACCAAAUUAAGUUUGUGUGUCUGUUUUUAUAAUUUUUGGAUCCCUAAUAUACCCCAUCUAAGCAAGUAUGGAAAGUUCUUGUAAUUUUGUUUUAAUUGAUCACGUGCAUUGAAUUUGGCGAGGUCUUGUAGCCAUGAAAUAUGGUUCUAGAUGGAGGAAUUAAUUUGGAAAUUUUUUUAGUUUUGACAAUAAAUUUCAAUUUGAAUAUACCUAAUUUAGUGUUUAUUUUCAACAAUAUCUAUUGUUUAAUUUUAUGAAAAUAAUCGCCUACUAUGAAAAUUAAUUUUAUGAAAACAAUAUCUAUUGUUUAAUUUUAUACCUACAAUAUAAUUACAUGAAAAUAGUUUACCUACUAUGAAAAUUAAUUUUUUGAAAACAAUAUCUAUUGUUUAAUUUUAUGAAAAUAAUUUACCUAUUGUAUAAUUACAUGAAAAUUAAUGUGCCUACUUUUUAAAUUUGUAACAAAAUUAAUUUACCUACUUCUUAUCGUGGUAUUAGUAUACAUAAAUGUAGAAUAUAUGUCCGUAUAUAUUUGAUCUAAUUAGGUUUUGGAUUGGAGGAGUUCACACAAAAUUAAAAAUAUAUUAAACAAAUUAAAUGUCUAAAAGAAACGUAUAAGAGAUUUGGUGGCAUGAUUUUGUAAAUAAACACAAAUUCAUGGACAUCUUUUAUCCAACAUGACAUCAUAUUUAAAAUUUGGGUUUUAUUUAGAAGUUAUAAUAUAUGUGGGUUUUUGUCUAGAGUUUAAGAGUUGUAAGGAUUUAAAUCUAAAGAACCCAAAAAUUUUAUGGACUUGUCAAGAAAAUUUUAAAGAGACGGACCAAUGAUCUAUACUAAGUGCACCGAUAUUAUCCCUAACUUGCAUACACUCUGUGAAAACAGGGAUGCAACCAUUCAUUAUGUUUGCAUUUUAUGUUGUCAAUUUUUUCGAUUCGGAUUCUUAUAUUCUUCGACAAGUAUUACUGUUAAUCACGUACUUAAAUUGAGUAAUUACCUCGGAGAAUUUGGAGGCGGAGGCGAAUCAGACUCUCAAGAAUUUGUGAGAUGAAUUUCUAAGCGAGACUGAUGAAGGGGUUUGAGGAAAAGGCUUGGAGAAGUUGAAGAUGACAUUUUUUGCCAUGGAAAUUACUACCAUCUUGGCUGCUUUCUUUGUUCUCUGUUUCUGUUCUUUCUCUGUUUAGAUUUUGUUUUCUGUUUAUGAAAUCAUAUUAUACCACCGCUUCCUGGGGUUGCAUGGGGUGGAAAAAAAUCUCAAAAAUCCCGAACCGAACCGAAAAAAUCCCGAUCCCAAAUCAAAAAUUUCCCAAAUCGAAAUUUCGGUACGGGAUUUGGGAUUGGCUUCUCGAUAUUUCGGAAAUCCCAUACUGAACCGAAAAUAUAUAAUAUUAAUUAUAUAUAUAUACAUAUAUAUACAUAUAUAUUAUAUGUAUUAUUCUUUUAUAAUUGAUGCUAGUAGUUUCUAAUUCAUGCUCUGCAACCUAGAAUGCCAUACGCCUUACAUAUUUUUCAUGUUCUGUUUGAUAUUCAUUUGGAUUUUAUUAUUGUUGCUGCCAUGACUAAUGAUUUCAGAAGGCUUGAUUCUUUUGUCUCUCAAGUCUCAACAUAUUGCAAAAAGGGUUUAAUUAAUUUGAAUUUUGACUCUAAUAAAAAUAGUCAGGCAUGCCAAUUUUAGAUUAAAUGGUAGUGUGAAUGAAAUGACAUUCCUAGUUCACGAAUGUGUUCUUGAAUUAUAUAUUUGAACAACAAUUCAUAAUUUCAUAUUUUAAUUUGGGAUUCCCAAUUUGUCCCGAAAUAAUGUGUUCUUGAAUUAUAUAUUUGAACAACAAUUCAUAAUUUCAUAUUUCAAUUUGGGAUUCCCAAUUUGUCCUAAAAUCCUGAAAAUAUUUCGGGAUUCCCGAAAUUUGGGAUUCCCGAAAAUUUGGUUUGAGAUUAGUCUCCAAAUUCCGGUCCCGAAAUAGUAUGUGGAUUAUUAGUCAUAUCAUAAGUUACUGCAACUUCUAUUUUUAAAAUUUUAGACAUUAAAAGGAUAAAAAAAAGGCUGCUAUUUACUUGCGCAAAGUUGAAAUUGAAAGAAAAAUAUUACGGAAAUUACAUUUUGUAAAUUAUGUUUAAAUAUAAAGUCGUUGUUUAACGGGUAAUUUCCAUCAUAAUUCUAUUGGAGUGUUUACGUAACCGUAAUAAAAAAUAUGAGGAAUUGAAUUGAGAAUGAGUUGGAAUGAGGAGAAGUCGAAAUCAGAUUCCUGUUGAAGCUGUUUACUUAAAUAUUCUGGAAUCGGAAUAGAAAUUACACUAAUUCCAUAAAGCUGUUUACUAAUUCAGUAGAAUCGGAAUAUAAAUCAGUAUGAUUACUAAAAUGCCCUUGUCCCAAAUCAAAUAUUUAUAUACUUUUUUUAAUAAAAUUUAAUAUAAUAUAUAAUAGUAAGAAAAAAAAUUAAAUUGCUUUUUUAUUUCAUAGACACCAAAAUGCUUUUGUUUAUUAUUAUUUUUUUUUAUAAAUUUAAGUAUUUACUUUAAUAUUCAAAUUUUCUCGCUCAAAUUGUAGUUUCUUCUUUUUGGCAUAUGCAUGGAGUUGUGCAUAAUGUGAAUGAGUAUAAAGUUGUGCAUAAUGUGAAUGAGGGCAUAAUAUGAAGAAAAAAUGCGUUCCUAAUUCCCUCAAACUCCUAGAAUUCAAAUACCUCACCUAUCCAGGGAAUCCCACUCCUCCAAUUUGAGGAAUUGCAUUCCUUGUUUCGGGUGGGGUCCACCACACUAUUGAUUCCCCAAUAUUUAGUUAACACCAAAGUAAUCCGUAAUCAGAAUUUAAUUUCGUUUUUUAUUCUCAUUAGCCUUACUAAACGCGCUUUAUGUUGACAAUACAGUAAUAAUUUAUGCGCUAUAAUUUUGUUGGAGUAUUUUUGCAUAUGCAUCAAAAUCUCAUUCAAUAAAUCAACAAUGUUUCCUAUAGAUCUUUAAAAGCUCAUCAACAACUUGAACUAAGAACUCUUUGUUCAUAAAAAUGAUCUGUUUUCUCAAUACAUGAGAACAUUCAUGUGCACCAUCACUCUCAACAAGCAUUGAUAAUCGUUUUUAACCCCCUUAACCCUAUAAUAGCAGAACUAUCAAAGUAUUUUUCAAUAAAAGUUGUCGAAUCUUUGAAUCACAUAUUGGUAUGUGCACGCCGAAGGUUUGAAUCACAAUAGUUGGUUUUUACAUUGGACAUGUCAUCGUUUUUUUCCGAGAGUUAGUUGACAACCAGUUGAUCGGACCAGCACAAUUGCAGAUGUUGAAAAGAAGUCCAACACAAUUAAGAUGGUAACCCGAUGAGCGCAUUCCAAGUAUCAUUUCAAGCCUCUUUCCCUUAUGCUCGGAAUGGAUCUCAAGGCCGGCGAAGAUCUCGAGAUCUCUGACACCAAGAUGAUGGGAGUAAGGUGUGCCAUAUCGAAAUUGGUGAUUGUUGAUGAAUUAGAGGUUGUGAGUUUGGAGGAGUUAGAUUUUGUGAGCCAUCACCGAGUCAUGCAUGACGGCUAAGGAGGAACUAACAAUCUGAAUCAUCGGAUUGAAGUCUAGGGAGGAGGAUGAAUUUCUCUAUUGAAUAUGGCGAGCUGACAGGAUGAGAGCAGGAAGAUUUAGUUCUCACCAAUAUCCCAAACUAUUUGAUAAAUAACCUCUAUAUUUUUUGGGUCUUCGCGGCACCUCAAAAUGCCCAUCUAUCAACAGUAACACUGGCUUUGUACGUAGCAAAAAACGCAGAACGUUGGAGGAAGAAAUUCCAAUUCUGGCAGCCCAUUCUCUGCCACCGAGGAUCGAUUCAAGCAAGAGCAAGUCGUCAAGAACCAACCAUUUCAAAAAAUCAUUGUGUCAGUUGGUCUUUCCACCGCAUCCACCAAUUAUCUCGAGAGAGUUGUGCAUAUUUUAGAUAUAGCUCAUAAAAAUAGCAUGAUAUUUGUCACCUCCUUUGGGUGACACUAGACUAAAAACAUAUUCAUAACAAUUGUGCCUAUUCAUCUAUCCUUGCACAUAUCAUAUUCUCAUGAAUUGGUAUGAUCCCUUUGAAUAAUUUCACCCGAUCAUCUAUGUGGAGACCAUGUCCACUCCUAGGCGCUUCACCUUUCGUAUUUCAUUUUUCUCUACCAUCAAAGAAAAAUAUAGUGCCUAAUUAGAUGACCCAAAUGACAAAAACGUUCUUAAAAAUGUUAUUUCUUGUUACGUGUCAUUAUUUGACAAAAAAGUAGAUUUAAGUUGCAUAAUUGUUAAAUUAUAACGCAAUAUAAAGUUUUGGGUGACUAAUUCAAACUGUGGAUAGCAAUAUUAUGCGACAAAUGAUUGUGGAAGUUAAUUUGUUGAUCAUAUUGCACCGAAUUUUGAAUUUUCUAAAAUAACCACAAAAGUAAAGUAUGUUUAUUAGAAUGCACAUUUUGAAAAAAAACAUAAAAACAAAAAAAAAAAUUAAUCAAAAGAGCUGCAAAUUAAACUAAAAAGUAAAAAAAAUCUCAUUAUUUCUUCUCACGUCCCUGCCGGCACGCGGCCUUAGUUCCACCAUAUCAGCUUCCAUCACCUUCCCUUCCGCCACGCCAUCGCCGUCCACAUCAACACCAACUUCCACAUCACUCUCACUAUUAACGUCAUCAUCAAUGACCGCCACUCCCACUUACUCAUUCAGGAGCUCCAACCACCGUCUCCUUAAUCUUCUGCCAGGUCUCCUUCACCGCCCCCACGUCCCCUUCACCGUGUCCUUCGCCGUCUCCGCAACCUUGCUCGUCCCCUCCUUCACCUUCUCCGCCACCGUCCCGGCCACAUCCUCUGUUUUCUCCUUCAUACCCCACAUACUCUCUUUCGCUUCGUCCUUCACGCUCUCCGCAGUCUCGGCUGCUUUAUAAGUCCCUUCCUUUGCCUUAUCGGCCGCAGUAUCUGCCAUUUCUUUGGUCUUCUCCUUCGUCUCGGAAGUGUACUCUUUUGCCUUUUCCUUGGCGCUCUCCGCCGUCUCCGCUGGUCUGUUCGUUCCCUGUUUCGCUUUCUCCGCCAUUGCUGGGCUGCGCUUUUCGCGUUCUGCUUUGCUUCCGGCUCGUACUCCUUGGUUGUCUUUUUCAUUUUCUCUGCUUUUCGCUUGCUCUUUUCUAAUCCUUCUUCCAUGGUUUUUUUAGCAUGGCUGCUCACAUGCGCCGACCCGUACUCUCGGUCCUUAUUUAUCCAGUUCUUGUUAGUCAUAUCUGUUCUCUUCCGCCGCAUGUUUACCCUGAAAUUAAUUCAGAACAAAUUUGAUCAAUACAUUUUUGACAAUGAGGAUUCGACCGGAGAGCACAUGUCCUGACUAACUAGCCUAAUUCGCGUCUGUAAAUGUUACCUCAGAGAAUUUGGAGGCGAAGCAGACGCGGGAGACUUUCGGAGAUGAAUGUCGAAGAGAGAGUGACUGAGAGGAUGGAGGAAAAGAUCUGGAGAGGUUGAACAUAACAUUUUUUUCUAUGGAAAAUACUACCAUGUUCGCUUCCUCUGUUUUUCUUUCGUUCUCUACUAAAUUUGGUCCCAGAUAUCCUAUCACCGCUUACUAGGGUUUGCAUGUUAUAAUGAGAUUAAGGAGAGUAGGUGGCAGCUUUGUGGCUUGACACGUGUGACUGUCAAUUAGGGGGAGCUGCAGUUCAAUCCGUCGCGGAAUCUCUACUAAUUAACUAUGAAAUUACCAGUUUAAUUCUCUAAUUAAAACAGAAUAUAAAUAAGAAAUAUAAGGUUGAAAUGUAAUUUCAUACAACUAAAUUUUACUAUUUUUUUUCAAAACCUCAUUAUAUGUAAUUCUAAUAUAUCUCUAAUUAAAAAAUAAAUAAAUAAAGAACUUUCCACUCCCACAUCCUCUAUCAUUCUCUUCCUCUCUUCUAUUUCAAAAAAAAAAAAAAAAAAAAAAUUCACAUACUUUGUGUGUGCCCAUAUGCUAGUGGUAAAAUAAGGAAAGAUAUCAUCUCAAUCUCUUUCACCAAAGCUCACGGAUCAAAUGAUCCGAUCUUUUAUGAUCCGGUCUUUUAAAUUUGAUUUAACGGCUGAAAACAUAGACAACUUUUAAAAGUUAUCCUUGAUCCGUGAGUUCGGUGGAAAACAAAUGGAGUGAGCAUUUCAGCGGAUGAUUAACCGAAUGAAAUACCAUAAUAACGCGGUAAAAUUGAAAACAGUAAAAGUAAAAACAGUUGAAAAAAGAAUACAGCUUUGGAGUUGCAGAUUAGAACAGUUCGGAAAUAAUCAUAAAUAAAUUCACUACCCAAUUUUAUUCACUGUAUCAGAGCAAGAAUGGUAAUAAAUGGUGGAGGGAUUUUGCUGCUCCGACGGUUUCAGUCAGGCAAAAAUGCCAAUCGGGGCACAUUCCUCCGGAGCUCCGGUACGACUGCCUCCGAGGCUAGUUUCGGAAGUCCACCAUCUUCAGGUACUGACAAAAGUUCUUCUCUUUGCUUGCUUUUACUCACAUAUCCCUCUCAAUUAACAAGUUCGUAUUCAAAUAAAAGUAGCUUCAUUUGGUUGAUUUGGUUCUGGAAGCUUAUACUCUUUGAGGUUUGUUGUUAAUUGGUGUCUCUCUUCCAUGUUUAGGUUUGUAUGUGCAAAUCUAUGUGGCUUUGAAGCUUCAAUACAUUAGAUUUCUUAAGAUAAAUCAUUGGCAGGAGCUGUUAUUUGCACUCCAAAAAAAUCAUUCUGCACUUUUCAAUGGAAAAGUCAUAUUUUUGGUUGCUUGCAGCCAACGGUUUAAACUUACUAUUAGUUUUGGUAAACCAGGGUUACAUUAUAAAGUUAAGUAGAGCAUUGUCAUGUAAUUUGACAAACAAGUAUCUUUUGUUAAUGUUGCAUUACUGAAACAAAAGUAUGAAUACAGGCUGCUCGUGCGAGGGACUAUAAAUUCGAGUAUUUAUAGGACACUUGAAGAGCAAUAAUGCUUAGUUCUAAUUGUACUAUCAUUAAAAAGAACAAUUGAAAUUCUGUGAAACAAGUAAAUGUGGCUGGAUGUUAUGCAUGCAUUGCAGUUGCAGAUACAAGCAAUACAGGUAUCUAGGAGGAGAAGCCAUCUUCGGCCAUUCAAAUUGUUCGUAUUCUUUGUUCAUGAUAAUUUGGUUUGGUGCUUACCCUGACUCAUUUAUAUGUUCAUUAGUUCCACAUUGAUUUUGCUUAGCUUUCAUGUAAUCUCCUGCGAGUAUCAUAUCUACAUAUCUAUCUGUGAAGGAUUCCCUUGCCCAUGUGUUUGAAUUAAAUUUUUAAAUUUGAAAGUUCCAACAAGAAUAUUUAAUGUUUAUGUUUUCAGUUGCUCAAAUUGGAUUGACUGCUAAUGAUAUAUUUAGGUUCUCGUAUAGUUGUGUGCGUAAACAUUUCUAGCAUUAUACUUUUGGGACCGUCUUCUGAGAAAAUUAACCAACAAAAGCUUCAUUGCUCCAAAAUUCUAUAAAUCACGUCAUUUAUGCACCUGCUCUUGGCCUUUAUCAUUUUCUUCAAAUUUAAGGAAUAUGUUCUACAUAUAUUUCCAGACUUUCUAUAGAAUUGGUGAUAGCUAAUACUUUGUCGUGGUUGCGUUAACAGUAUUUGUCCACUGAAUGUGGUAGGACUACAUAGUAUCUAUUUGCAGGAGGAUGAAUUAUAGGUAGUCUUGUAAUGGGUUAGAUCUCUCAAUAUGACCCCAUUUGCUUCUCUGGCGUUUCCUAUCCUAUUGUCCCUGGAGAUUUUUACAAAAUUGUCAUGUUGGUCUAGAUUUCUGUCUUUUGAAGAUUUAAUGUAUUAUUGUUGAAUACUGUGUUGUGCUUGAAUUCAAGAUCUAUAGCAAACAAGAUAUAGCAUUGUAUAAGAAUUUUGUCCGAAAAUUACAUCAUGAUUAGCAAAAUAUUGAAUCCUUCUUUAUUGUUCCUCCUCCCUAAAAGGAAUUAAACCUCACUUUGUUCAUACCUUAUAAGAACUAAUCUCUAACAGAUAGUCUAAAACCUAAUGAUAUCCUUCCUGUCAAUUCACUUACUUGAAAUAAAUUAAGAGGAACAGACAUAAAUGAUAACGGAGCUGUUCACACCCUUUUUAGCAUCUCUCACACCCUUCUUUAUUACUGGCCUUAGAUAAAUCAAACGGAAACAAUGGACAAGAAUAAACAGGGGUUGUAGGAGGAGAAAAAUUGUGUGUAUUUAUCAUUUCCCAUGUUAAACUGAUUUACUUACCAAUCUGUCUUUUCGACCAUCAGUUCUUUCCACGUUGAACAGGUUAAGCGUUUUUCUCCGUGAUCGACAUCUAUGUAACCGCCUGGGGCAGGUGUUGGCUUGCAUGCAACUUCUCAAAUUACUUUCUCACCUGGAUAUGAAUCCGCGUUGAAUAGGUUGAGCGUUUUUCUCCGUGAUCAACAUGAUAACAUCUAUAAAACUGUCUAGGGCAGGUGUUGGUUUGCAUGCAGCUUGUUGAAUCUCUAUGCAUCCACGUUCCACAAGUCGAGCAUUUUUCUGCAUGAUCAACAUCUAUACAACCAUCUGCGGCAGGUGUAAUCACCUAAGCAUGUUUGGUUUGCAUGCAUUUUUGUCGAGCCUCUUUAUUACCUCUAUAAAAAUCCCAGUUAUCCUACGGUCUCAUCACAAUUCAGUAUUCAAGUUUUUUCUUCCCCGUCAUUGCCAUAAAUCUGCUAAAGCUUCUUUCUUGUAGAAGCAGUUGAAGUUUUCACUAUCCUGGUGAUGAAUAUACGAGCAAAUUGUUGUCAUGGAGUUUCCUAGUCAAUGUGAUUACCACAGUUAUUCUGUGGCCAACUCUGUAAGUACUAGGCAGCAAUACAGCAUUCAUAUGGCUUUUUUAUGAUACGGUUUCUAAUUUGCAGCUUUGAUAUGAUAUAUGAUAUAUACAUGAAUUUUUUUUUCAGCAGGUACCAUGUGUGAAUUUGUAUAAACGGCUUAAGUUAGCAGGCCUCUGUUAGGAUCUCCAGCUUGCUUAUGCGCUGUUUGGAUUACCUUCUAUGCUUAAAUUUUGUCAGUGAUCCUGUUUAAAGUUUCCUUUCUAUUACCUUAUGGAGGGAGUCGGAGUAUAUCAAAAUCGUACUCUAAAAAGGAAGCUCAUGAAAUAGCAAAAUCUUAAGUUUAAUUCGCUUCUAAUUUUGUCCAAAAGCAAAGAUAGUAGCUUCGUUAGUGGAUACAGAUGGCAAACGCAUGGGAAUAGAGAAGAAAAAUAAUAAAGCAAGGCACUAUAUAUUCAAUAGUUUUCUGUUGUCGAACAGAUUAUGUUUAUGCAACCACGAAAUUGCUAAGGAGAUUUUUUUUAUUUUUUAUUCUUUGAUGUAGGAUGGACUCAAAAGCAGCUUUGAUUCUCGCCUUGUGAUUGAAGAAAUGACAAGCAAGCAGGACAUGGAAUCCAACCGUGAAGUUGAAGUGGUUCAGUGGACGACGAAAAUGAAAACACAAGUUCCAUUGAGCUCAUCAGGUUGUGCUACCCCCUUUACUCACAUUCCCAACAUUAUAACAAUCGUUUACUCACAUCCCUAACAUUACGAGCUCUAACCCUCUAACUAAAAAAAUCUUAAUAUAAAAGUUUAAAUACAACAACUUAAGAGGGGACCUUCUGGGUUUGCUAUUUCAGGGGAGGCCUUAAUUUGCAAUGUUGGGCUUCAGUCUGUCUCAUAUGGCGUUUGUGGUACUUGUCGUACUACUCGCUGUGGGGUUCGGUUGCAAAGAGAGGAAAUCAUCCCUGGAGAUAGCAGUCCCUUUACUUCUUCCUUUUAUAACGUUCAUAAGCUAACACUGACAGGCCAAUCCACCUCCACCAGUUGCUCUUGGGAUGCUGGCUUUAGAGAGAGACAGGGUGUGAGUCUUGAGAGUAAGAGAGGCAAACGAGCGAGGAAAUGUGGUUUGGCAGAAGGCAAUGACUGUAUGUGGUAGCCCUGGUUUUCCAUGGCGUUCUGUGCGAGAAAAAGAUGGAGAAGUAUGGCUCCACAUAUGUCCAUACAGUCGUAGCCCUAGUCUGCCAGAUUUGAACUAAAAGAGGCGCCAGAAUAUGUCACUCUCUUCUGCGUCCUCUCUAACUCUCCCUUCUCUCUUCCAUUCUCUGAUUCUGUUCUCUUUUUACACACUGGUCAGAUGGCUAUUCCUAAACCACCACCCUCCGGCCACUUGUCAUCUGAUCCUCACCUCGUCAAACUUUCCACAACACUGCCAAUGUACUCUCUCUUUCUUUCAACCCAAUUUCCUCACUCUCUGGCAUUCCUCCUCAGCCUUUUCUUUAAUUUCUUUUAUCCUCUUUUCGUUCCCUCACGAUCCUUACCCCACUCAUCUGCACCCCCUUACGUGUUCUUCUCGCUUUGGCCACACCUGUGCUCUCUCCACUGGCAGCAUCACAAGUUUACCAACUAGACCACGGCCUGCAGCUUAUACAACCCCACCCUCACCCACACAAACAUAUAACCAGCCCCUACCUCUCUGAAGAUCAUCGCUAUCAACAAACGCUCUGUGUUCAUAGACAAUGGAAAACUUCCAUCCACCUUCUGUCCCCUCUACAACGACCGUAACCUCUACUCACCAGACAAAUAAUUCGCAGUCCUCCACUUGUGAACCAAUGAGCUGUUUGCCUUCAACUACUUGUAGUCCUUCAGCCACUCAGUACAGGUAUUACCCGUACCAUCAGGCCGGUCUCCCCAUGUAUCCAUUCCUGGGUGGCGCCCAACCGAAUAUGGUUCUAUCCAGAGAACAGGCCAGCCUAGACCGAUCCGGAUGGAUAUUGAAUGCCCUUAUGUCUAAGUCUGCAAGAAACGAGAGAAAGAUGGCGAGACAGAGGAGUCUCAAUUUGAGCAGAAACGCAGCCAAUACUGCUGUUUCUUGUUCUCCCCCAGUGAGUAGGCAUCCUCCAUUUCAUGGGAAUCAUGAUGAUGAUACAUGUGGAAUCAUUUCCACGUCAUCAUCUGGUAAUGGUGCUGAUUUGCAGAACACCAAAGAACAGCUCUACCCGUUCUGCACGCCGGAUAACAAGGUACGGGUUGAUCUUUUGUCUUCUCAAAUCUGAAUUUCAAAUGAGUUUUUCUUUAAACUAUUAUUUCCGUGUAUUCUUAUUUACAGAAACUGAGACCGCUGUUUAACAAGGAGUUGAAGAAUAGUGAUGUUGGACCUUUGGGCAGGAUUAUAGUACCGAAGGUGAGGUCUUUGUUUAUUUCGGUACUUUCUGUUCCUUUUACUUCUUUUUGUUUUUCCAUUUCUGAGAAACUAUGACGGAAGAGAAGAACUAAAAAGGCGGAUCAACCAACUUCUUACUUUGAUUUCUCUCUCUUUUAUUGACUGCUGCAAAAUGUUUCUGAUUUAGACUGCCUAGUAAAAAAUCCCUUCCUCCUUUCUAAGUUUUUGCACCAACAUUUACUCUUUCUAUGUUUUCUCCUCGUUCACAGAAAGAAGCCGAAAAUAACCUUCCAAUGCUCUCCGGCAAAGAAGGCAUCCAGCUGACUGUCAGAGAUGUACAUUCCGACCAGCAUUGGGAGUUCAAAUACAAGUAAGCGUAUAGACAAUACUAUUAAUUUUAUAUUUUAAUGCCAAACCAUCUAUGCAAGAGUUUUCUGCCAAUUAAUUAAGGCCAUUUUUUUCUGCUUGGUUAAUUUUACACAGGUACUGGUCAAAUAACAGAAGCAGAAUGUAUGUGUUCGAAUAUACAGGUAAAAAGUAAAAACCGAUGGAAUUGCUCUUAAUGUUCAUUGACAAACACAAUACAUGUCAUGUUUACUGAGUAUCCAUAUUUUCAAUGUAACAGGCGCUUUUGUUAGGCAAAAAAGGCUGGAGGCGGGAGAUUGCAUUUAUCUGUACGAGGAUGAAUGCAAGAACAUCGUGAGUCCUCUUUUCGUCCUUAAUUAAUACAGAAUCUGUUGCAAAUUAAAGUAGGAUUUUGAAAGUUGAAUACAAAUUAAAGAGUCUGAACUGCAUGCCUUGUGACAAUAACUUUUUCCGUUAUGAUGACGAUGUCCUCUGGAGGAUAGCGUGAAGGUACAUAAUAAGGUAAGGUGCAUGUAUGGAUAGGAUAGGAUGGCCAUUGAUGAGCGCCUAGUAGAUUAUGCGUUGUAAAGCACGGGUGUAGCACGAGUAUUUUGCACGUUGAACCGAGCGUUUAGAAACGGCACUAACUAGUUGGCAGGAAGACUGAAACGGGAGUUUUAGGCUUGGAUUAUGUGUAGAAUUCAGUUCAGUGGGCCAUAAUCCCCUGAAAAUAAUAAUAUUCCCAAAUGAGAAAAUCUAGAGUUAACGGAACGACCAUUAAUACAGAGUCAUAUCUUACACAGAUUUUGAACUGUCAUUGUUUUCUGCAUAUUAAAUUAUGCAUUGUUGGAUCUAGAUUUCAGUUUGUGCAUAAUUAGACUGUUUUGCUUCUCUUAAUAUGAUGUUAUGUUAACUAAGCUGCUUUUUUCGUCCAUGCGAGGAAACAGUACGUCUACGUAGAAAAGGUGCCAAGACCAGCACGUGUAGCUGAGCCCUCCUCCUCCUCUCAACAGCGUAAUACUACGACUAACCAUACAGACCAAACUGCCAACAUGAACACUAGCCUCGAGGCCAACAAUACCGACAACAAAACUCCCAACACCGAUGCUAAAACCCAUAGAAGUAACCCCUAUGUGGCCUCAAACUUGUCUUCACCUUCACCUUCCCCUUCACCAUUUACCUAUGUAGCUGGCUACGAAGAAGACGAAUUAUCUCUAGAACUACUUAUGGAACAACUUAAGCAAGAGCAAGAAGCUAACGUUUUCGCGGAUGCUGUGUCUAUGACCUCUGCUUCUUCAUCAGCCUAUAUGGAACAUGAGGAAGCUACUACUUUGUCCAACAACAUCGCUAAUCGCCAUAUUGAGAUAUCUACCAAACCACCGUCCACGUUGUCUGCAGGAAUCGAUCCUUCAUCGUCAUCAUCUUCACAGAGUAGAGCAAUGGUGAGGAUGGUAAAUGAUGAUCAGCCUGAGUUCGAUGACUGCUACAAAGGCCUUGGGACGCUCCCAGAAGUCGACCACUACAAGUACGUGUGACUAUCGCCUCUUCGAUCACAACGGGGCCGCAGCGGACGACAAGAGAACUGAGUGUUUCAUGUGCUUCAGAAGAUAUAUAGGAAAAACAAAUUAUCGAUGUGAUAUUAAUUUUUAUAUUCUGAUGUCAAUUAUAUUCUCAAUGAAAUCAAAUUAAAGUAUUUUCAUACUUUAUUUUUCUUGAAUUAGUUUUACUUGCUUCCCAAAAUUUGAACAUGAGAAUUGCUAUUAACACUUUAAAAAUCUCAUUUGACAUUCAAAAGUUUUUAUAUUUAUAAAGAAAAAUUUACUUGCGAAGUGCGUACAAUGAGAUUUUUGAAGUGUCGAUAACAAUUUCAUUAAACUAAUCUAAAUUAUUGAGACGAAAAUUCAAAUGCGCAUGUGUAAGUAGGAGCUUGUUCGCUGAAAUCAAUGUGACUACGUCCAUUACUCCAAUUGAUGACCACAUGCUCAUAUAGUGGGUGACUGUUGACUCUUUAAAUGGACCUUUUCGCAAAGAGAUUCUUGUGUUCGUACACUCACAUACCGCAUCAGACAUAAGGAGUUAAAUUGAAUAAAUCAAGACAAAAAAAUUAGUCUAUUUAGCAUUACUCAGUCCAAAAUACUACAAAGUGAGUGUAUGGUAAGAUGUCAAGUGAUUUGGCCAUCCGCACUCAAAUGACAAGUCGUAUGAGGGAAAAACGACUAGCCGUAUAAUCCUCGACUGACAAUUGCACAGUACACAUCGAGUGAGGAUUCUCGCUGAAUCUUUUUGUGAGGAUUUCAGGUAUACUUUAAUUAUAUCCGUUCAUCGUACAUUGUGCGGUCAGUUUUUAUUAAAUACUAUUUAUAUUCAAUUUUAAAUAAAAAAUUUACAAUAAUUUCUGACCAUACGAUAUACGAUGAAUGGAUGUUAUUGGAGGAUCAGGAUCCUCACAUAAUCCUCCUGGGUACACAACAUCAUCAUCGUCUUGGCGAUGAGGCGAUGACUCAUCCAUCCUUCAAGCUUCUGCCUUUCGGGGGAUAAAUCUCUCUGAUCCAAAAACCCCACACUCCCUCACUUCUCCUCCCGCCAUGGCCAUGUCCACAACCUCCUCCUCUCUCUCCACUCUCUCUUCCCUCUCUCUCCACCCCUAUCCCCGCCUCUCCCUCCUCCCAUUCACCGCCGCAGCCACCCCCGCAACCAAACCCAGAAAACCCAUUUCCCUCUUCCUCUCCUCUUCCCGACCCACCACCGUUAUCUUCAAUGCCGCCGCGUCCGACGUCGAGACCUCCUUCUUUGACAACGAGGACCCCGAAUUCGACGGCGUGUUCGAGCCCCCGGAGGCCCCCGAAGACUUCGUCCCCCCGCCUUCCUUCGAUGAGGAUUCGACCGAGACCGAGGACGAAAUCGCCGCCGCGUACGAGGAGCUGUACGGCCCUGCGUACAGCGGCGUGACCUUGCUGGGGAACGACAUUUACGUGAUGGACUCGAAGGUGAAAAAGCUUGGGGCUUUUGGGAAGCUGAAGAAGGAGAAGAUUAGAGAUGGGUUCGAGGAGAGGGUGGUGCAGGUGAGGAGGGUGACGAAGGUGGUGAAAGGAGGGAAGCAGCUACAUUUUCGGGCGAUUGUGGUGGUUGGCGACAAGCAGGGCAAUGUGGGUGUCGGCGUCGGGAAGGCCAAGGAGGUUAUCGGGGCGGUGCAGAAGUCUGCGGUGAAUGCUAGAAGGAACAUUAUCAGUGUGCCCAUGACCAAGUACCUGACUUUUCCUCACAGGUAUUGCCAUUUCGAUUUAUUUUUGUUUGAAUUGUGCUUGAAUUGUUUGUGUUUGAUCUUUUGGUUGUGUGGGAAAUACUGCAUUUUAUGUGGAAUUGAAUGUCAUUGCAUUUCGGGCUAUAUUUGGCUAUCUGCGUAUUUGUGGUCAAUUCUGCAUUUCAGUUGGGUUUAUUUCAAUGACAUUGUGUCAGAAUUGUGUGAAAAAUGAUACUUUUGGUCAUUUGAUGGUGUGGAAAGUUCUGCAUAUAGGAAUUCAUAGGAACUGAAAUCGAAUGUAACUGCAAAUUCUUAGAAUUGAGUAUAGACUGCAUAUCAGUGUGAGAAAUAUUUGAGACAGGAUGGUGAUUGGUUAAACUUGGAGUCUGAGGUCUGAGACAAUAUGGGGAGUUGAAAUUGGUUGUGUAUGUGGUUUGAUCACAUUGCAUGCUCGCUGAACUUGAAGUAGUAUGUAUUCUCCGAGUCUUAUGGUUGAUAUUUGGUGAGUCACUUAAGCGUCAUUUACACUUGAAGUAGUCUGUUCACCAUACAUUUUCUUGUGGAAGUGUCUUCUAAUAUUGACAAGCACAAUUUGGGAUGGAUGAAGUACAUAUUUAUCAAUAAGCAGUGAAUCAGUAGGUUGUUGCAGUUAUAUGGGAAGGACCAUACACGUACAGUGUCUCGUGCUUGAGAGCAUUGACGUGUAGCCUAGGAAGUGAUUUGAUAAAUGACACCAGAAGGUGUAAACCAUGUAAUGAAAUUAUGUGGAUUCUCAUUCGAUCUGACAGAUUGGUCUUCUGGUGCAAACAAUACACGAUUUUAAAUGGGUUCAUAAGAAUUGAAAAGUUUAGUUAAAUAUGACAUUGCACUAUUAAACUUUUGAUUAAGUGUAAUCUUUAAUUAUUCGGGAAUUGGAAAUUCAUUUUCACGAGUAUCGAAGUAGGUUUCAUUGUGAGGUUAAUUUAGACUACUAGCAAUAUUGUCAUUAUACUGGGCGAGUCCGAAUUAAAUGUGCAUAACUUUGUUCAAUUCAAACAGAAGUUGAUCUAUUGUUUUUGAGAGCAAGGAUAAUAUAUAUUGUUUGGUUUGUGUGGUUCCGAGAAGAAGCAUUAUAUGAUUCAGCCCAAAAGGGUUUCGCUCAUCUUUUUUUUGGUCUUAACAAGAUAAGUAAGCUCUCUCCGGUUGAGAGAAACAAACUAUAAUGAGCCUUGUGUGAUUGUUGAUGGAACACGUUAGGGAGCGAAAGGUUUCAUUCUUUUCUUUGAUAGGGACUGUUUAUAUUCUUAUCAUGGUCCCAAAAUUGAAUGCAGUUAUUGACGAUCGGACAUAAGCGAUUGCCUUCCUAUUCUUCUAUAUAUUGCAUCUCCUAUUUUGUUGACUCUAAUAAAUCGCAGAUCUGAGGGAGAUUACGGAGCAGCAAAGGUGAUGCUCAGGCCUGCUUCUCCUGGUACUGGAGUUAUUGCCGGAGGGUCUGUGAGAAUAGUUCUCGAAAUGGCAGGUGUCGAAAAUGCUCUUGGGAAGCAACUUGGAAGUAAGAAUGCUCUCAACAAUGCUAGAGCCACUGUGGUUGCAGUACAGAAAAUGAGGCAGUUCCGUGAUGUCGCUCGUGAGCGUGGUAUCCCGAUGGAAGAGCUUUGGAAGUGAUUGAACAGAACUGAGCAAAAGCACUUAUUCUGCAUUGUAGAUUUUAUUACAUCAAAAUUCUUGUAGUGCAGGCCUCUUGUGUCGUAAACUUAUAAGAGCCCCCUUUUUUUUUCGUUUUCAAUGAAGCUUUCGAUGUCUCUAAACUUGGUGUAGGCUUAUCAUGUUUCCGGAGAAUCUCCGAUACUACAUUGCAUUCAAUGUGAAAUGAACGGGUGAGAUUAAAGAAAUUGAUAAUUAAACCUUCGUAUAGAGAUGCGGCUAGAGAAAGAUUCAUACCCCUAAGCUUGCAUAUUAUUAACGUGUCGUUAAAUGUGGCGAAUUGCUUAAAAAUAAAUUUUAUGAUGGUUUUUGUAGAAAUUUCUAAAAUUGAUUAAAUACCUUUGACUACUGUUUUUCGGUAGAGGUGUUAGUGGGUUAAAUUGUUAGUUUUUAAGAGAAUAGGAACCGGGUUGGGGAGUCUAUCCCGCAGUAGGAUAUAUGGGCAUGAUUUCCUUCCACUACUGAGGUAAGUCGUCAUCUAAAAGAAAUUUAACAUGACAUUAACAUGGUAGCGCCACUUAGCGAUCCGUUACUUUGAUUGCCCCUCCAAAUUACUUGUUCGGUGAGACCAAAAAAAAGAAAUUUGGGGUCCGAACAUUAGACCCCGUCAGCAAUAUGACACCACACCCAAGAAACCAACCGUGCCCACCCAAACCACCACCACCCCCUCCCCGCCCCAAUUUCUAGGCCCCCAAACUCCUCUGGUCUCACUACUCUCCCUUUGGUCGGGGCAGCGCUGCAUCCUAUUCAGGGUCAAAUUUUGCCAACCUAAGCCAAUCCGUUGCUAAAUGAAUCAUAAAAUAAAAAGACUGGAACACGAUGCCAAAACUAAAGCAAUAAAAUCGACAUCUUCCACCACCAAACAUUGAGAGGCGUUCAGUGGUGCCAAACUUAGUUACUCACAAUUAUGAGAGUGGUCGUUUCCUGUUGAGCCCACGGAGUAGGCUUAUUCUGUGGGCUCAACACUUGGAAAAAUAACUCGGUGAACCUUUUUUUUUCUAAAACAAAGGAAAGGAAAUCGAUAUCUUAUGGUAAAAACUCGUAAAAUUGUAACACCACGUGGCAAUCUACAUAAAUUUCUCCAAGAAAGCCACCAGAAAGAUCAACCGACUGUGAAAUCCCACUACAUAUUCGUUGCCUUUAUGCCUCACAUAGUCUAUUCCUUUCCUUGCACAAAGAUAAUGAUGACACAAAUGGAGAAGCAACGCUAGGCAUCUAUUAAUCUUAAAAGAAUAAAAACAUAAAGUAAAGGGAAGGCAUCCUGAUCGGAAUAAACGAAAGCCAAUGCUGGAGGACGGUAUAUAUACCGACCUCUAGACAUUGUGAUCCCAACACCAUCAGAGAGAUGAAGUUCUUGUUUCAGCUCCCGUGUUGCUCGUGUUUCUGCUUCAUCAAGCCCAAAAGCAGCAAGCACAAGGAGGAGGAGGCCAAGACUGACUGAAAGAUGCAACUCCUCUCGUCGAUAUCGCUCGUGAAACAGUGCAGAACUCUUCAGCAACCUGCUUGCUGUUUUGACAACCUUGUUGUUGUCUUCUCAUGCCUCUCGAAAUGAUUGUAUCACAACUGUAAUUGUCUUUGAAUGAAGUAUAAGAUGCCCUUUUAAAGGGAUUUCUCCUCGUUUUUCACAACGCCUUCUCUGUUCUCCUUUUGAUCAUUUGGCGCUAAGCCCAUCUCACGGAUUUGAUGUUCAACAGAAACCAAACCAGUCUGCGCAAGAAACCUGCAGCAUAAAAUCAAUCCACAAUUCAACAAGGAUCCAUGAAAUAAUAAAUUCUAGUAAGUCAUGCAAAUUCGAACCUCCACACUAACGCAUUUCAAAUAAAACGACAAAAUCAAACAUGCCUCAAAAAUCUUAAGUUUGGACUGCUUGCGCUUUUUCUUUUCUAGUUCUACUCUAAACCCACGAAUGAGAAAAAGUGUGUACCAAACACCAUCACCUCAGAAACAGUGAAACACAACUUAAUAAAAUGUAAAGACUCGUCAAAUCUAUCUUAUGUCGUAGAAUAUAUAAAAUAAUGUCUGCAAAGUUUAGCCCUGUGCUGGCUUGUACAGAGUACCCUUAGCUUUGCCCCUAAUUCCAUCGGGAUAUGUAUAACAAGUGCCCAUAGUUCCAACCCAGGCUCCAAAAAUAUAAUUUAGCCCUCUCAAACCUCCCUCAAAACAAUCUUUCUGCCGUUUGUAUAAAAAACAUUGAAAAUUAAGGACCUGCUCGGUAGAAAACAAGGUUGGACACGCUAGCUAACUGAUAUUACAAGUAUAAACUAUAAAGGCUAAAAAAGAUGAGAGAGCAGCUCAUAUAUCAAGCAAGUUUUCCCCCUCCGUGUAUUACAACAACUUACCAUGCCUUAAAAUCAAGGAACGCAAUCUAAUAACAUGACAAAUUAACCACUCUUGUUGACCGAUUAGCAAGCACAAAUCCAUUUCUGGAGCAUUCACAAAGCAACUUAACAUGUUCAAACACCAGCACAACUCAUCAAACAGGAAGUAUAGGUUGCAAUGUGAGCUAUAGCAUACACAUAAGUUAACAAUUGGACUUAAAUACGCUGACGAAAUUGGUAAAAUUCGAAAUCACGGUGACUAAAUGUGAUUUCGAGCCAAAUCACAGCAAACAAAACCGUGUUGUACCCUUACAAACAGUUAUCAACAACACAUACUAAUUCCAUUACAUACCCAAUAACAUAAAGGCAACAAAUUACUGAAAAAAUAAAGCAUUGAUCCAAAAAAGCAUAAAAAUUAACCAAAAGAGGAACCACAUUCAUUCACCCACAUCCAGAUUUACCAAACUGCUAAACUUAAAAGGAAAAAGUAAAUUGUGGGUAAUUUACUCGAGAUACAUAUUCAAUGAACUUACCAGCUAAGAAGCAGGAAGAGGGUCGCAGUGAUAAGAACAAGGAACGCAACGUGAAAAACCAACCAAGAGUCACUGGAAGAGAAUGCCAAACCCAGCAUCACAGAAAGGCACACACCCAGCAUCACAAACGCAAAUCUCAGCGUCGUCCAUGUCGGACCCUGCAAAAUCCAAUCACCCCCGAAAAAAAGAAGCAAACUUUCGAUUACCCCUUUUCAUUUUUGGCAAGAACUGUUCGUAAUCGUAGCAAAUACAGAAGCUACAGAAAGAAGGGGGAAAGUGUGCGUACGUUAACGCCGGGAGCUAGAGCGCCGAGAAAGACUGCGUUCGCCGACGAUAUUGGUUCGGGUUCUGGUUGCCUUUCGGCCAUCGUGCGGGGUUUGGAUCUGCGACUGCCGACUUGCGAGCUGAGAGGAUCUGAGUGCAGGGGAGGUGUGGGAAAGCUGGAGCAGUGACUUUUAACUGGUGGGAGAAAAAGAAGAAAGCUUUUUUUUUAUUUCUGCUUGGAUUGAACGGUAUUUUCCCGGAAAAUUUUAAGGGUACGUAUAAAAUAUCGAUGAUGUCGGAAAUAUCAGUAAUUCAAAAAUACGAAAAUUUUGAUAGAAAUAUCGGGAUAUUAUCGAUAUCGAUAAAAAUUGAAUAAAAACUACGGAAAUUGUAAGAAAAACUUGGAAAUUUUUAUUGAAACUUUGCAUGAUGUUUAUUUAGUCAAUUAUCUAUAAGUUUAUCAAAAAAUUGGAAGAAAAUGCAUUGCAUGAUAGAUAUAACUGAUUUAAGUUAAUUAUAUAACGAGCUGGUAAAUAUUGUGAGUGUAGAAAAUAUGUAGUAAUUAAUGAAAGAAGUUUAAACACACCAUAAUCAUUUAUAUAUAAUGAAUUAGUACAAUAUUUUAUAUUGUAUACAUUGCAUGGUAAGAUACAUGAGUGACUUAGCAAGGUCUAAAAUAUCGAUGAUAUCGGAAAUAUAGGUAGUCCAAAAAAUUAUCGGUAAUCCAAAAACACGAAAAUUUCGAUAUAAAUAUCGGGAUAUUAUGGAUAUUUUAGACCAGACAGAUGAUAGAUAUCCAAGUUCUCAUAUAUAAAAUUUUAAGAGACAAAUGACGUUUUACCGCAAUAAUAAUACUUAUGCAAAUUGGUCUAUAUUUGAUCCCCUCUUAUCUCCUUUCUCUUGGCAUUUAACAAUUUAAUCCACUAACGCUAUUUGUCAAAAAAAAAAAAAAAAAAAAAAAAAAAACCAAGGGUGAGUUUUUAGAUAUACAAAAGUUAAUCUUCAUCACAUUGUGGACCGCAGGAGGAUUUCACAGUUUCAUCUGCUUACGUAUAUACAAAAAUGCAGACAUGGAUAUUUCAAGACUAUCGUAUCAACUUUUACGUGUUAAAAUCUCUCAAUCGUCCAUAUAACUAGGACCUCUGGCAGCAGGAUCAUGCUGCAGUUUAGUUUCUUUCUCCUUAAGGUACUGCAGAAGCGGCUGCUGCUCGUUUCUUACAUCCGUCACAGCGCCACACCCGUAGGGGAUUGGUCUUUGGUAGCCAGGAAAAGGCGGAUUCGAUGGCAGGUUGUUCAUCUGCAUUGGCGGAUUAGACGCCGCGUGAUGUCCCCAUCGGUUGAAAUGAUUUAACCUGGAAGCAUCAUAAUCGUAUAAGUUUCCGCGGUUACUGGGCGGAUACAGAGAAUUUGGCCAUGCAUGGUGGCCAAGGUUGAGACUCUCUCUGUACUGACGGAGCCAUUCUGAUGAAGUCAUUCGAUGCCAAGGCGGGUACUUAUCCAUGAAAUUUAGAAUGCUGGAACUAUAAUCAGGUAGCGCUUGAGUUGCAGUCCAGUUUGCAUAGCUGCCUGCCUGUGAAUAUGUUGCGUUAGCGUCACAGAGAUUAUCUGUCAUGCUGAUCCCCGCGGAGCUUUUGCAGUCGCUGAAACUAGAUUCGGUUCCACCAUCAAACCAAACAGCAUCAUCUGGCAAUAGAGGAGCAGAAGGCACAGGAGUUGUAUAAGUAGAGGAAGAGGAAUGAGUGCUCGAAAUUUCGUGACUACCGAGAGAAUAUUCAUUUUCAUUGAUGGACAGAACAUCCAGAUAUUCCGAAGCUAUUUCCUCAAUGGGGCUCAAGCUCGAGCCACGUUUACUUAUUUUGCUUGUGCUUUUCUCCUUAUUACUGUUCAAAUUUCCUCCGUCCAGGACCCAAGCAUUAAGAGAGGGAGGCCCGGCUAUGAUUGGAGUUUCCAAAAAUGGCUGUUCCUUCACAGAAGGCUCCUGCUGUUUAAAUGGCACGUUGCGCCGAAAAUUAGUGAUAUCAGCAUGAAAAGAUAAGGGAUCAGUCUUGGCCUGGUUUUGCGCUAUAAGAAGUGAUGUGGCACGGCGCAAGCACUCAUCAGAAGGUACACUUUGAUCCGCCAUAUCUUUCGUAGGGUAUGGAUCCUUUAAAGUAGAGGAAAUCUUGAGUGGUGCUGAGUUGUGUCUUGUAAGAGGCCUGAAGAGAAUAACCUCUUCCUCUUCCGCAUCAACAGAAUGUCCGUUAGAACUCAGAUUUUCCCCAGCAAUCAUCUGUUUCUUGCAUUCUUUCAGCGGUUCGUGGAUAUGAAGACUAGGCAUUUUCAGUUUACCAUCAGGAUUGUUGGACUCGAAUCCUCCUAGUUCUUUCCCGUCUGCAUACUCAUUUGACUCUGCCAUAUAGACUUUGGAAAAUUUUCUUCGAGAUUUGUCAUAGACAAUCCACUUUUGAGAACCUGUUGAUCUGUCUGCAAUUUUAAUUGCAGCCUUGAUGAUUCUCUGAGCACGACAAUCAAUUCCGCUGUCAUAAUUGUCAAUAUGUUCCGGAUGAUAUGAGAAAUCUAGUGAUGCAUGAACACAAACUACCGGUGCAAAUCCCCUCAGCUCAUAGUCUUCCCACAGAGGAGUACCUUCUGGAUACUUGGCCUCAUCCUCGUUGAGGUUGAAUUGCUUCAGAAGAUCAAUGAAUGCACCAAAAAAGUAAGACAUCGCACUUCUGCAUUUUUCAUCGACCCCAUACAUUUCUGCUUCAUCAAGCACGACGACUAGCCACUCCACAAAAAAAAGCACAGCUGGUAGAAGGGGGCAAGUCUCUACUGCACCAGCCUCUGAACAUCUUUCAACGAACCGCCCCAUGAAAAUGAAUGCUGCAGUCAGUGCCAAUUGUCUCAGCUCUUUCUGCUGGAUAUCGAUUUUGUCAGUUGAUCCUUUUAUUUCCGGGGUCUUGAAUAGAUUCUGUACGGUAAAGACUAGUACAGAAACAACUUGGAGUGCUCGAAAAGGGCCUCUUCUAACUGAAUCCAUACGCUGAUAUGGCUCCAAUGCAGCUUUUAGCUCUGUAUCAUCUAGUGCCAUCAGUGCAUCGAACUCUCUCAUAGUACGCAAAAGCACAGGGGAAUUCAUCCACACUGCCCACAUACAAAAUUCCAUAGAGAAAGUCAGAACACAAGCAACAAAGAAUUUCAUAUGUAAAUAAAGAAUUGGAAACACAAGCAUAUAGAUCAAAGGCAAGUAGUUCCAAUGAUUCAACAUUAAACGGCCUUGAUUACAAUCUUCGUCGAAACAUCACAUUGCUCAAGCAAUGUGAAGCAAGUUAACAACCUAAGUAACAACGUAAGCUCAAGUUAAAGAUAUAUUCGGUUUUACAAUCUUAGCUGCUAUGGAUUGCGAAACCGAAUAGAAUUAAAUGAAAAGACAAGCGAUUACACAAUGACAUUGUAACAACAAAAUGAGGACAAUCACAACUCAACCAAAGAUGCACCAUCCAAAUUCAACAGUUACAUGUAGCAACACUCCAUAGUGGUUAAGUGAGUACCUUGAUUUAAUGUGAAAGAAACUUAACAUUCCAAUAAUAAGAGACCAUAACUUUGUAUCAUCGCUCGACUGUGAAGUAGUCUGAACACUGGUUCUUUCAGACGGGUUUAAGAAAUUAAAGUGGGCCUCGCUUGAAGGAGAAUAUACAUGAGAUGACCUGCUCUGCAAGAUCGUAAAAAGCAAAUGAGAACUGCUGAAGUAUGAAUAUCAGAAGGAUAUGACAGUAGUGACUAAAAACAAUAGAUGUUUCUGUAAUUUGUCAGAUUUUACCCUUUCAAACAGUAGGAUAAGGUUACCCCGAGCAUCAGGGAAAGGUUCUUUAACAGCUAAACUUCUUAUACAGUGGUACAAAGCGAGGAACUCGUCACCAAUAUAUGUUGCCAAUACAGCCAACUGCAAACAAACUCACAUGUAACCUUUAACUGAGUUCUGUUUAAAUAACACAGGCAAAUAUCGUAAAGAAAUUUAGGUCUUGUAACCAAAAUCUUCAAGGAAAUAGUAAUCUACCUGAUUGUGGGGGUUUCCACUAUCUGACCAAGUUGCUGCCGCUUCCAAGUAGUGAGUGGCCGCAACUGACCAAUUUCGGGUUUGCACAUCAGGCUUUUCAUAUUGUUCUCUGUAUCUAGCCAGAUCCCCGAGACACACCAAAAAGCGAUGGCACAAAAAUUGGCACUUCUGCAUCUUUUUGUGCUCUGCAAAAGUAAGGUCGCCGCCUCCCUUUCUAUUUAUCACAGACUCUUCUGGGAGCCUCUUACGUUUACUUAUCUUCCCAAUCAUAUUCUGGUAGAAUUCAAUUGCUUCUGAUAGAAAGAGUUUAAACCCUUCUACAUGAAUAUCAUUUCGUAGCACCACCAUAUUUUUGCUUUCUGCAUUCACUGAACUUCCUUUUAGUCUUUUGCGAAACUCGUCAAUAUGCUUGUAGUGUAGCUUCCACAAAGAAUACUCAAUGUCUUGAAAUUCCAACUGCUCAUGAUCACUCAAUAUGAGAUUCUCAUAACCAGAUCGCACUUCGCAGUACAAGUCCUGGACCUCAGAGUUCAAGAGUCCUUUGGAAUGGACCACACCCCACAACCGAUUUUCUUUGGUUGCAACCUGAAAGGUGAAAAGUUUCAUCAUUUUCGAGACUCGCAGAGAAAAAUCGUACUACAAUUAUCUCUGAUCUUUGAGUAAGUGUUAAGAAGUACCAAAUGUAGCUGCAGAAUUUACCUCAAUCAAAAACUUGGGUCUAUCUCCCUGAUCUUUGAGGGGCAAAGGUGAAAUCGCCUUCAUGUUUAACAGGAAAAACUUCUUCAGCCGUUCUUUAUCUCCUUUGUGCAAGCUGCAAUAUGCUUAUGGCAUAACACAUCUGUUGGUAAACAUCACAAAUUAGUGGCCCUUGCAGUUGCAAAACAAUGGAAAAUCACUUGAUUCAUGCAAAAGGCAAGAAAAAAAAAAAUCAAAGUAUGAGGAGCAUUUGCCACAGGAAGUACCAGAUUACAAGAAAAUCAUGUUUACAACUAUAUCUUGAGCAUAAUUGGACAACUAAAGGUGGGAAUAAAAACCCUAAACUGAGCCAACCAAUUGCAUGGAAAUUUAGGGAGGGAUAAAUUCCUAAUCUGAUAAGUAGUCAAAAGUUGAAGUGAAAUCCACUAAAUUUCCAAAAUAUCAAUUCCCAACAGAGAAAAAAAGGAAAGAAAGUAGAUCUGCUAUUGACUUUUAGGGUUUUAGCCACCCAGAAGAUAAUGAUCAUCAUCAUGCAACCAAUGAACGUGGAAACUGGCCUAAAAGCAACAAUUUGUCCAACCCUAACUCUAUUCUAACUUCUUUAAUCAUGUUCAAUUGGUCAAUUAACUGAUAAUUAAAUAUCAAAUUCAGAGCAGAAAACAGCAAAUGUAAGACAAAAACAGAAAUUAUGCAAUAAAUCCAUGUAAAAUUCAGCAAAACAAAGUUCAAGAAACAAACUUCAGCAGCCAAAGUUUGAGUCUUUAACUGAUGCUGCAGAACCCACCAAACAGAAAAGCUAACAAAUGGAAGGGGAGGGAGAGAGAGAGAGAGAGAGAACCAAAGUUUGUCUUUAACUGAUGCUGCAGAACCCACCAAGCAGAAAAGCUCACAAAUGGAAGGAGAGAGAGAGGGGGAGAGAGGGAGAGAAAGAGAGAGAGCCAAAGUUUGAGUCUUUAACCGAUGCUGCAAACCCCACCAAGCAGAAAAGCUCACAAAUGGAAAGGGAGGGGGAGAGAGAGAGAGAGAGAGAGAGAGAGAGAGAGAGAGAGGAGAGGAAAAUUGGGGGCUUCCAACUGUAGAGACGAGAGGUUCAGUUUGGAAGGGAAGAGAGAGAGAGAGAGAGAGAGGGGAGAAUUUGGGGCUUCCAACUGUAGAGACUAGGUUCAGUCUGGAAGGAGAGAGAGAGAGAGAGAGAGAGAGAGAGACUCACACACACAGAGGAGAAUUGGGGGCUUCCAACUGUAGAGACAACAGGAUCAGUUGUGAAACAGACAAAGUAAAAGGUGGCUGAUGAUGAUGAGACUCAUUAGAACGAGAGAUUUUUCAAUGUUUUCGUUACACGAAAUAGUACAUCAUGUGCUCCUAUAUAAAUGGUGAAUUAUGUGUGUUAAAAGGUUAAUAACUUAAAAAUUAAAAAUUUUCACUACUUGCAUAAAAACACGUGAUGUAUCAUCCUUAUUUUCGGCACAACUAAAAAUUUUCCCAUCAGAACAAGUCUGCUGUCUGUUAUCAGCUAUCUUACCCAAUUUUUUAACUUAUUUUAUUUUUCAUUUUCCAAAUUCUUUAGUCUUUAAUUUGUAAUAAAAUAAUUGAUUAUCCAAUGUUAGAAUUUGGAGAAUAAGAUAAAGUGGCUUAUCAUCAUGUGACUCAUGUCCAAGCAUCAACUUUCACCGGACUAAAUUUUUAGAGAGGAUGACUUGUAGUUCAAGCCAAGGUAGUAAAAGUCCAACUUGUUCAUAUGAUUAAUACCGUACAUUGUUGUGUGAGACACCAUCUUUUUUAUAUCAAGAUAGAAUUGCAUUUGCAUUCAUAAUUUAGGGAGUACAUCUAAUAUCAAAAAAAUAAUGUAUAAUUUUUUUUUAAGUAAGUGUCGUUUAAUUAAGAAAAGUGCUUAAAAGAUUGAUAUCUUUUUUUUGCGAUGAAUCCUUGAUGAAUAUUAUUUUCUUUGGGAAUGAUAGUAACCUUCUCAUUUUAUCUUCUCGGUUAUCCCUCUCAUCCUACAAUGUGAAAUGAUAAUUUGAACUGUCUAUUAUUUAGGUCAUUUUUUAAAUAUCAUUCCUACCAAAAAAAUUAGCUAACUCUAAAAUUCUUUAGUCAUUUAACAGUUGUACACUAGAUAGACGAAUCAUAUUUCUCACUUAAACACUAAAAUUUUGUCAAGGCUAAUUGAAUGGUUAAACGAUUUCUUCUUCUUUUUUUUUUUUUUUUUUUUUUUAAAAGUUGAUCUUUAAAGUGUGAUAUAGAAUUUAAACGGUUCAAAUCAUGAAGUAACGUGGUAGAAUUAAAAGGAAAGCCAUGAAGGUAAAACAAAAAAGUUAAAGCAAGAAGGUUCUUAGCAUAUCCCAAUUUUUUUCUUUAAUCCAUUAACAUAUUUAAUGUUUUUUCAUACACUAAUCAUUUGAGUUAUGGAUUAGUGGCACACGUGUACGCAAUGAAGUGGCUGUAGUGUCCCUGGGUAGAUAGGGUAGUUUGGCGCUAGGGUGUUUUGUGACUUUGUCUUGUGCCAAUCACAAAUGCUUGCAUGAGCUUAGUCAUAGAUUCAUAAAUAGACCCCUAAUUAAAUUGGGACGAAAAAUAUCUUUGUAAAUUUUUUCGGAUUUCAGAAAUAUGAACUAUCUUGACGAAGUUACCAGCUGAUCUUCUUAUUGAAAAGAAAAAAUAAAAUAAAAUGAAGAUGAUGUGGAUGCAAAUUUUCUCCUCCUCGAUCUUGGACGAUUUUGCACCUACAAAACAACUAGCACCUUAGGUUAAGGCCAAAAGCCUCACGCGCCCACGAUGAAUAGGGGGGCUUUGACCGAAGAACCUCCGAUGCCAAAGUUAGAAUUUUAGAGAGAAAUAGUGUUUAGAGUAUUUGUGAUUUUUUGUAAGAGAAUUGGAAUGAGUGUUUGGUGAAAAUGAGAGCCUAUUUAUAGGGCUAGGGUUCUUGAUUUAAUAUGAUUUUGGGAGUUAUGUGAUUAAUUGACUAAUUAAUUUGGCAAAAUAGGAUUAUUACCAAAUGAAUUAGCUAACUAAUGGGAUGAAUAAGCAAAGUAUGGCCAAUUCCUUUUCUAGCAAUAGAUGGCCGGCCAUUUAGUGCAUAUUUGGGGAUAUUUGGUGGUAAUUGGGAUUUUAUGAAAUAAUUAGCUAAUAAUUCCCUAUUUAUCUUAGCUAAUUAUUAUCAUAAAAGGAAAAGAUAUGGUAGAAAAGGUAGGAAAUAAAAGGAGAUGGCCGGUUCCUUUGGGGGAGUGGGUAACCGGCCAAAAGAGGUAUUUUUGGGUGUGAUUGGUGAUUUAAUUGGUUGAUUAAUGAAUUUAGGAAUUAAUUCAUUAAUUAGCCAAUUAAUCUCUAUUUAUAUGGAACAAUUUAUAGGUUAUGAAGUAAUUACCUAAAAUGAGGAUGUAUGAGAUAAUUUGGAAUUGGUUACCUUUUUUUUGGAGCAUUUUUAACUUGGUUGAGGAUGAUUGUCUACUGCUCGCGCGUAGAAACUUGGUACGCCUCAAGGGUAUUUUUGUUCUUUUUACCCAAAAAUCCACGUGUCGCCUUGUGAUUAUUUUUGGCUCCACAAAUGCCCCCCACACAUGUUGGGCUGCUCGCAGGAAAUGGCAGCAGAUGUAGAGAUCUUCUUGCUUUAGGAAACAUAGGAUUGCUUCCUAUUUUGAUGUAAAUUCUCUCUUUAAUUGGAAAUUAGAUCCUUCUAGAAAAGGGAAAUAAAUUUCUCUCAAAGCCUAUUUAAGUCCACCUUAAGUGGGUUAUUAAAUCAACUUUGGAGAGCGAUUUAUUCUACCCAACAAGAGAGAGAAAGUUAGAGGAUAUUUGUUCCCCCUCCUUUAGCAAUCUUCUACAUCUUGCCCGUGCAAAGAACCGUCUUUCGUUGAUUUCUUCGUCUUCUCCGUGCCGCACCGAUGUAAAAAAAAAUUAAUUUUUCUUGCCUUCUUUUUGGAUAGUGCUAUUGCAGGGCAGCCGUCGGGGUGGUGCGGCACGUCGGCUGGCAGGGGCCAGGAGUUAGCUCGGCAUGGGCCGAUGAGAUGUCGUGGCAGGGACCACUGCUUGGGCAGCUUGGCUUGGCUUGAGCCAAGGGCAGCUUGUGCGGCUAGGGUCGCGGAUUGUGGCGUUGGGGCGCAGUGCUAAGCGAGUCGUAUGGCUCAUGUCCUUUGGGCUCUUGGACCUGACUCGGACCAGGCUAGUGAUUGAGAGAAAUGAGGAGAUUGUGGGUCUCAUGGGCUGCUGGAAUGUUGGGUUGAACUCCCAUGCUGGGUACCACGAAUGGCGUUGGCUACUUUAACUCUCUUCGUCAGGAGAAACGUGGGUUGCUCCCAAAAUAAGAGGUGAAUAAGAUCAAGGCGAAUGCAUUGGUUCGUCCAAUCACCGUUGUGGAUCCUGCUGCAAGUGAAUGUGGGAAAAGGGAUCUUCUCUGCCUGCUCAAGAGAUGCUGGUUGAGAAAAAACCAAAGACUUCUUUCGCUGCUUAUGCAAAUGAUGAAAAGUUGAUUACUGCUUAUAAUCAAGUGAUCCACUUCAAGAGAAUCGUCGAUAGGCUUGAACCCCAAGUGUUGGAACUUCAAGGUGUAUUGAAGAUCAACAAAAGUUUGAAGAAAGAAGUGGAUGAGCUGCAGCGCGUCCAUGUUGGUAUUGGUGAAGUAGUUGGAGAAGUUGGUGCCCAGGCUGGAGCAGUCGGGGGUGAUGCUGCUGCUAAGAGCUUCGCGACUGCUGAAAGUGUGGCGACCGAAUAGUCGUGGGAUGUCCAGGCUGCUAAAGUGUAGUCAUCUAGGUAGCCUUUAAGAUUUUCUUUGUUUUUCCUUGUAGCUCUUGUUUUGCUUGAACUCCUUCGGCCUUUGCUAGUUGUUUAUAAACAUGUUUUCCUCAGCUUUUCUUCAUUUUUGCUUCUUUUGUUCAUGCCCUAACCUUUAGACUUGAUAGACCAGUGGCAAGCAUGCUACUUUUUUAUAAGCAGACAAGCUCGCGUAGCCUAUGCAGCCGUAGGUGUUGGUGUAGAACUUUGCAAAGUUGUUAGCCAUUGGGUUGGCAGCCGGAUGCCUUACUUACAGAAGCAAACAAGUCCACGUAACCACUAGGCUGUUAACCUUGACUUUCUCCAAUUCCAUAGGUUGCGUAGCAAGUAUCACAACACUUUAGGACUUGGUGUAGAUUGUUCCGCGCUUGGCAGAGGUGAAGCUUAUCGACUACGUCAUGUCGGCAGUGGAUAAAACUUCGUAUAUGCGUGCUAGCUUGUUUAACCUUUCAUAAGAAUGUGCGGUUGUAUAAGUCUAGUGCAGCUUUACUGCUCGAAGGGCAAGCCGUAGGCAGUCUUCCGAAAUCCGUAAGCUACCUUAGUGCACUCGGUAGCAGCUUUAGGAUUCCAGGGCAGCCUUCUAUCGGAUGUACUGCGUAAUGUGCCCUCUCCGUCUCUAGGGCCCGGUUCCCCACGAAUUAGGCCAAGAGACCUAAAAUCCUUCAGUUAGCUAAACUUUGAAAAAGACCAUUGCGGCUACUUCUAGGAAUCCUGGCGCAAGCCAUCGUGCAUCUAGUUAUACUAGGGCAAUCCAGCUCAUCCACGUCUGGAUAUUCGGAGUGUAGAGUUUAUCCUCCCGUUCUUGGAGAGCUGACCCAUGUAGGUGUCGGGGAAUUGGUUUACCCUCUCGCGUUGGAGAGUAAUUAGUUUACCCUUUCGCACUGGAGAGCAUGGUUGGUCCCUCGGGGGGCACAAUUCAUGCGGUAAGUCCCUAAGAAUGGCGCGGUCUUCUUUUGAAGUGCAAGAGUGAUCAGUUGUUGUAAGCAUGCAGCCAAGCUAAGUCGUGAUUACUUCUGAAUUCCUCAUUGAAAAACGAGUUAAACGAACGAGAACUUAGAUGUAAGGUAAAAACUGCAUAACAACUGGAUAAUCCUCGACUGGUGAGGUAGUGCCCGUCGAGCUGCUUGAGUCUUCGGGCUUUGAUGUAGCGAAAGGUCACACAUGGUACUUCCUCAGAUUGUAGGCAUUCCAUUGUUUUUCGAUCUUUUUGUCGUUUUAUGGUGGCGAGGGUGUAAUUGUUCUUGCCACCUACUCUGCUGAUCUUGUACGGACUUUCCCAAAUGGGAUCCAUAUUUUUGGAGCCUUUUCUGCUGGCAGUGAUGAAGGUUUUUCUUAUGACCAGAUCUCCAGGCUGGAACUGCCGGAUCUUGGCCCUUUUGUUGUAGCUGGAGAUGAGCUGAUGCUGGUAGGCUGCGAUGCGAGUGAUAGUCUGUUCGCGCCUCUCUUCUGCCAGAUCUAAGCUUGUGGCCAUCUCCUUUCGGUUGCUCGUCUUUUGGUUGUGCGAUAUGCCCAUAAACAUCCUUGGAGUUUGUCUGGCCAUUUUCUUUUCUUAUUGGUGAAGUAAUCGGUUGCCACGAUCAUCAUGCCUUUGCCCCUAGUAGUCUGGCUGGUGAUUAGCUAGGACUCGGAAUGAAUUGAAAGCUUUUUCACCACCAAGUCUUUUGUCAUUCGAAGGCCUGCUAGUGGGGCUUCGUACUCUGCUUCGUUGUUAGAUGCUUUGAAGCUUAGAGUGAUCGCCUGCUUGAGCAUUAAAACGUCUAGGGUGGCAAAAACCACGGCUGCUCAUAAGCCUUCGUAAUUGGAUGCGCCGUCGACAUGCAAACGCCAGAAAUCUCCAUCGAGGGAGAAGAUGUGGCUAAAGUGUGAUCGGCUGCCUUCGGGACGUCGUUGGGCCGAGUUGUUACGUUCGUCAGAAAACUUACAUCUGCCAGGGUCUACGCCUUUAUCGUCACUGGUUUGGAUUCGGCGGAAUAGUGCGUCAUGAAUAUGACUGUUUGCGUUUGAAGGUAAAACUUAAGCUUUUGGGUUACAACAAUUAUCGCCAAAGUUAGCUUUUGAAUUUUUAAUAGCAUCGAUGAGAGCUUUUGAAUUGUAGAAUACAGGUAGUCGGGCCCCCAGCUCUUCUCGCAUGAUGGUAGAGCUUAUUGCUACUUUAGAUACCGUCAAACAUGCGAAUAAGUCCUCCGCUGCUUCUAGGGAGGUGAUGUCGAGUACUUCUUCAAGUCCUUGAAUGUGCAUUGGCGAGCCUUAUCCCAAAGUGCAUGCUUCUCUGCCAAAGCAAAAGAGUUUGCCAGAGUUAGAUCUUCUUUCAUGAUCAAUUUUUCGAAUAACGGGUGGUCUGCUGGAAGUCCUUUUUGGAAGGCUGCUCUAGCUAUCGAGUUGUUGCAUCCGACUAUUUUUGCCUUCUCUACUUCAAACCUCCUCACAUAGUCGCGAAACGACUCCUUUGGGUUCUUCUUGACGUCGAACAAAUGGUCAGACUUCUUUUUGAUCAAGCGAUAGGAUGAAUAUUCUUUGGUGAAAACCAAAGAAAGUUCGUAGAAAUUUCGGAUGGAUUGUGGCGGCAAGGUGUAGAACCAAUCUUGCGCAUCGCCUUGUAGAUUGGUGGCGAAUAUCUUGCAUAUGAGAUCAUCGUUGUUUCGAUAAAGGAUCAUUGCUCUUCGGUAGUGCUUUAAGUGUCUUUCCAGGUCUUCAUCCCAUUUGAAAGAUGUGAAAUGUGGCAUGUUGAACUCGCGUGGAGGCUCUGCCUGCUCGAUCUCGUCCGUGAAGAGUGACCUGCUUAUGUUGGUCAUGUUUCGUAGUAGUGCCUCGUCGGUGACCUCGUUGCGUUGGAAAUCAUGCAAUCGCUUGGUCAAGAGUCUCUCUACUUCUUCCUGAAUUUUCCUUUGUUGGGGUAGCGGAGCUCUCGACUGCCUCCAGCCAUGACUUGCUGGUCUAGGCUACUCUUCCAUGUGUUUCGCUCAUCUAUGUCGCGGAUGCAGUGCAUGUGGUGCGCUCCUAGCAGGCGAGCGAGUUCUUCGCAGGCUGCUGGUUGAACUUGAGCUGGAUUGAGUGACUGCUUCUCUCCGUCCGUCGUGCUGCCUACUCUGAUGUGAGGUGAAGGAUGCUCCUUGUGGGCUUAGCCGCGAAUAGACACUUUGCCCGGAAGGUUGCUCAUGUUGACUAUCAGAGUAUGACCCCAACCGUGAAUGUAUGCUCAUCCGUGGGCCUAGUCGAGAGUGCAUGCUCCUCCGCGCGCUAAGACGGGAAUGUACACUGCCCAAACGUUCAGCUCGUGGCUGGUCGAGUGGCUGCUUGCCGGGACACUGCUGGAAAGGUCCGUCUACCCUUGUCUUACUUCGGGAUACCUCGUCCGGGGUACGUUGGAUCUUGAUGCGUUACAAAAGUUGAUUCACCAAGGUUGUCUGUUGUGCAAGGGCGCUCAUCAACUCUAUGACUUGUCGAGACAAGUGUUGUUCGCCAUUUGGAUUGGAAGAGCUUGGAAGGAAUGCGCCUCUUUGGGCAGUGGAAGGGUGGUAGACUCCGGGCGUGAGAUUUGAGUUGGGAAAUGUCAAAUCCGCAAAAAAAAUAUGGUGAGAAUGCCCCCAGCUCGAUGGUAGGUCCGGAUGGUUGAGAUAGUCUUGGGCUGACUUGGGCUGCUUGGAAAGCCACGGGAGCAGGCUGGGCCGUGAGAGUGAGCUGCUCGACUGAAGCUGGUUGGGCCACGGGAGUAGGCUACUCGUCGAGAGCAGGCUGCUCGGUUGGAGUAGGUUGGGCCGUGAGAGUGGGUUGCUCGACGGUAACAGGCUGGGCCACAGGAGUGGGCUGCUCGAUGGAAGCAGGUUGGACCACGGGAGUAGGCUGCUUGUCAGGAGCAGGCUGGGUCACAAGAGCAGGCUGCUUGGCAGGAGCAGGCUGGGCCGCGAGAGCAAGCUGCUUAAUAUGUGAUGCAUGCGAAUGCGAGGCUUGGGCCCGGGCCCAUGCAAACUUGGAUGGCACGACUUGGGCCGUGGCCUUGGUGCUGUGAGCCUUGGAUGGCAUGGCUUGAGCCGUGGUGAAGGCACCAUGGACCUCGCCACGGGUGGCUACCGAGCUAGCCACCGUGGUGGUUCCCAUGGUGGAAACUCGUGGUGGUGGUGCUGCUCCACUUAUUGUCGCAUUUAGCCUCACGGAUCUCCGCAAUCCCAUUUCUUGAACAUUAGAAUUUUCACUUGUGGAAUUUUCUAAAUUUCUAGCCAUUAUAUUUUGCUUAUACGUUUUAUCAAAGAACCUUUGCAAGUAAAAAAUUCUAACAAUAAGAACGUAUGAAAAAUAUUCAAAUGGACUAGAAAAUAAAGAAAAAAACCUUUUUGUGCGAGAGUCUUCUACGAGUAUGGAUUUCAACUCUCAAUGAAAGCACCAAUUUGUGGAUGCAAAUUUUCUCCUCCUCGAUCUUGGACGAUUUUGCACCUACAAAACAACUAGCACCUUAGGUUAAGGCCAAAAGCCUCAUGCUCCCACGAUGAAUGGGGGGGGGAGGCUUUGACCGAAGAACCUCCGAUGCCAAAGUUAGAAUUUUAGAGAGAAAUAGUGUUUAAAGUAUUUGAGAUUUUUUGUAAGAAAAUUGGAAUGAGUGUUUGGUGAAAAUGAGAGCCUAUUUAUAGGGCUAGGGUUCUUGAUUUAAUAUGAUUUUGGGAGUUAUGUGAUUAAUUGACUAAUUAAUUUGGCAAAAUAGGAUUAUUACCAAAUGAAUUAGCUAACUAAUGGGAUGAAUAAGCAAAGUAUGGCCAAUUCCUUUUCUAGCAAUAGAUGGCCGGCCAUUUAGUGCAUAUUUGGGGAUAUUUGGUGGUAAUUGGGAUUUUAUGAAAUAAUUAGCUAAUAAUUCCCUAUUUAUCUUAGUUAAUUAUUAUCAUAAAAGGGAAAGAUAUGGUAGAAAAGGUAGGAAAUAAAAGGAGAUGGCCGGUUCCUUUGGGGGAGUGGGUAACCGGCCAAAAGAGGUAUUUUUUGGGUGUGAUUGGUGAUUUAAUUGGUUGAUUAAUGAAUUUAGGAAUUAAUUCAUUAAUUAGCCAAUUAAUCUCUAUUUAUAUGGAACAAUUUAUAGUUUAUGAAGUAAUUACCUAAAAUGAGGAUGGAUGAGAUAAUUUGGAAUUGGUUACCUUUUUUUGGAGCAUUUUUAACUUGGUUGAGGAUGAUUGUCUAAUACUCGCACGUAGAAACUUGGUACGCCUCAAGGGUAUUUUUGUCUUUUUAAUCCAAAAUUCCACGUGUCGCCUUGUGAUUAUUUUUGGCUCCACAGAUGAUACAACAUAUGUUACUCAACUUAAUUCAUAAAAAAAAUCGACUGUUAGUUUCUCAAUUGGCGUUCAUUCUCUAUUUUGUUAGAGAAGAUUUUAAGUUCAAACUCACGACAAACGACAAUUGUUAAAUAGAUGCACUAGUUUCACACAUUCGUCAUCGUUUAAUUAAUUUAUGACUUGAGUUUCCACUUAUACAACGAGAAAAAUCAAUGCACUCAUUCAUCGUUAUUUGUGUGAUUGCUUCAAACGUGAUGAAUGGGUGCACUUGCUUCGUUGUUGUGCAAAUGGCACAUGAUGCACACCAAGAGAAGCUUCCGUCUGCAGAGAGUCGUAUACACAUGGAGAACACAGGGCAACAUGACUAAUGGGUCCCACAUGUAAGACCAUUUUAUGACGUUAAGAUCAUAGUGAUAAGCCGAUCUUAGCCGUCAAUUUGAUAAAUAUUAUCCUGUUUGACUUUGGAAAAUAAAAACAAGCAAUAUGAUGAGUGUAUAUGGCCACGUCAUCAACGUGGGUCUACGUGGUUGUUGUUAGGUUGCUGAUUAGGAACCCCUUAAGCAAAAUUUUCAACCUUAAUCAAUUAGCAUUAUCUGAAUUUGGUGAGCUGCAAAACUUGGAAGCAAUGAAUGUAGAUCUUCGUUCUCUGAAUCGUCGAUGGAACCUUUGAGUGGCAGUGCAAACAUCAUUUUUUUUUCUUUUCUAUUUUUAUAACAGAUGUCGUCUGCAAGAUUUGACCAAACGUAAAUAAUACUUACACGAAAGUUGUAGCCUUAUUGCAUGAUUAUGCUUUUCAGCAAUUGGGAUACAAAUAUGGAAGACGAAUGGGUUUCAACUGUUCAAACAACCCAAGUAUAAAUGUUAAAAAAGAGAAUAUUAAUGGUUACAAACGAUACCAAAAACUGUGAUUUUACUUUCACUGAAAUCAACCUAAGAUGUUUGAUGAAAUAUCUUUUCAUUGCGAAUGAUGUUACAAAGAGGAGGUUAAGUUCGACAAAAAAAAAAACGAGAAGGUUAAGAAUUGUGAGAUAUAUAGUAGGUUGAGGUUUUGGGGUUGUGACCUUCUUUAGUUAUCGUUUCUUAUUUUAACAUGAGAAAUGUUAAUUAAGCGGACUCUCUGCUAACUUAUAUUUUUGUCACAACGUUUUAUAACUUUGGAAUGGAAUUUGACGUUAAAUUGUGAGGUGACAGAGAGUUCACGAAGAGUUUUAUUUUAAGAGAAUCUACUUAACAUUUCUCUUUACGAACUCAUUUUGACAAAAUUCUAACUCCACCACCUAUCAUAUCUACGCUCUACCAAUAUUAAAUCUCUGUAAUGAUUACUGAUUUAAUGGAAAUAAUAGAAAUUAAACUCAUGGCUUAAUUUUGGAGCAAUUCUUGUGUAGAUUUUUGGGUGACGGUACUCAUUUGAUGGAAAAUAAUGGAAAACUCUUGCUUCAAGCUCAGGGCUUUGCUGAUUUAAUAUAUUUAGCUUGUGUCUACAUCACUGGACCCUUAAUAUGAUCUUCUAAGGUUUUCUGAUAAGUUCUGGUUUGUCCCACUUUGAUUUGCACUCUACUCCACGGGGUCCAGACUCCACCCCCAUGAUAUAUCAAGAUCUUCCUGUCUUGACUCGAAAACCUUGGAAAUCUUCAAGUCAGUAAUUUGCAGUUUGUAUGCAUAUCUUAAUGAGGUACCAUCAUUUUAUCCCCUUAUUACUAUGGAGAGAAGUUUACCUGUAACAUGACGUAUACUUUUUUGUCACGAAAAAAAUAAGUACAAUUGAAUAAACACUAUUUACAGCUAAGUUUUAAUUCUCUUUAUUGAGAAUAGCUCUGAUAGAAGUGUAUGACCAAGCCAUCCUUCGACCACCUCUAACAUCAGCAUAAGGCUCUCGUAUUUUAAUUUCUCUUGAACUUAUGUUGAUUCUACAUAGUGUGAGAGUCGAUAUCCAUACGAUGUGAGAGCUGCUCUAGUAUAUGCGCCUAUCUUGAGCCAAUCCUAGUAUAUACAAUGGGACUCGUUGCAAAGCGAAGUACAAACUUUGAUAUGGCUACGAAUAUAUAAGCCCAUUCUUACAUUAAGACUCAAAUCCAGUUUUGCCCUUUCGAAGGUGCAAACUUUCAAAGACAAAUUAUGGGCCACCAUAAACCCAAUGUGCAAUGUUUCACAAGAAGAUGUCAAAAUUCUGCUAAUGCAAAAAAACUUUCAGAAGAGAUUAACCAUAUUAGUAAACCACAUAAAAUAGUCCAGGUUCAUAUUUCAUAUGAUACAUCUUGGGUUCGAUUCUUAGUGUUGGAGAAUCAAAUAAUGGUGGCCACCACUGAUCAUUAAAAUAAUAAUAAUAAUAAUAAAAUAAAAAAGGAUCCACAGAAAAUAGCAAUAAAAUUUACAAAAACGUGACCUUAGAGAAAAGGUUGAACGUACAUUCCAAUUCAGCAAUCCACUGUUAGAGAAAAAGUUGUCCCAUAGGUUCAAACAAUAUUCACAUGCAAUACGAAAACAACCACCAUCUACAAAAUGCUACUAUCAAUCGUGGGUCAAUAUCUAGAUCAUUUUCAGCCGUUAAUGAGUGUCACCACAUUCUUCAACGGCUGAAACUGAAGAACAUUCACUAGUCUGUGUGCGACUUAUGGUUAACAUUUAUUCCUCUACAUUAACACGUGAAAGAUAAACGAGGAGAAAGCAGCGGGCAGAGGGCAUUCAAAAUUUGCGUUCUAUCACCAAAAACACACCAACAAAAUAAAUUUUACCCUAUUUUUUAUCCCAACGAAUCAUCUGCACAAUUUCCUCUAGAUCCUUCAUUCUCUCUCCUUCCUUUUACCACGAAGGGCAGAGACAGAGGCCAAUAAAGCCCUCUCUUUUCUUCUCCUCACACAAACAAAUUAAAAACACAAGUUUUGUGUACGUACGUUCCCUAACCCUAAUUCAACAAACACCAACGAUGGGAUUCAAGCUCUACCUGAUCGCCUUCAUGGUGGUAUUGGCCAUGGUGGCCAGGUCAUCAGCCAAGGUCCACGAUGCCUCGUGGGGCGUCAGCCACUUCGCGGCUCAUGAUGAUGAGUCCUUGAUCGACAGCGCCAACAGCAAAACAGGUGACGUCGGAGAGGAGAACGAGUUGUUGAUGGAUUCAGACAGCGGUCGUAGGACACUCAAAGGCAACGGCAGGUUUAUUGGAUAUGGUGCCUUAAGGCGCAAUGCUGUUCCAUGCGGACGCCGCGGCCAGUCCUACUACAACUGCCAAAAAAGGGAGGGAGCUAACCCUUACAAGCGCGGUUGUGAGUACAUCACCCGCUGCUCCAGACGCUAAAUCUUAUCGAGGAUCGAUUCUAUCCAGUUAAUUAACAUGGCAAAUAAAAAGUACGUACGUACAAGGAUAUAUAGCGAAGAGAGAAUGAAAGUGGGAUCGCUCAGCGAUCACCAUCAACAUUCAUGCUUGCACGAUUUAUAUAAUUUCCCCGUUUUUGUGUUUUAAUAUAAAAGAAAAAAGAAUAGGAUGAAUGUGUUUGUUUAAUUAUGUGUUUUUUUGUAUUCACAUUUUUGUGUAUAUGUCUAUUAUUAUGUAUUAUUAAGGAGGAAAUGAAAAUCAAGAUAUAUGUACUUGGGUACGUAUGAAUUAAAUAAAAUGAGGAAUCAGGAGUUUUCUUUUUCUUUUUGUCUUCAGCAGCUUAAUAAUUUUCUAUAUGCUUGCUUGUGAAUAUCAUGCAUGCAAAUUACGACGAAUCAGUAAGGCCAAUUGCCUUUGAUAAUUAAGGGUGGUGUUAUUCACAAACUCAUUUUUACUUCUCUUAUAUUUUUUUAUUAAUUUUUGCCAUUUGAUUUUCUUUAAUUCAUUCUAUCCAACAGCCAAAAAUCAAGAAUAAUGUGUGAGAGAUAAAUAGAGGUGUGUAGAUAACACAUCCCAUAAUUAAUUGUUUUGCAUCCUUUUCCAUACUCCUCUACUUGCAUCCAGAAAUAACAUUUGGUUGCAGUUGUACAAAGAAAAUAAAUUUAGCACUUUUUUCUCUCUUCCUGCAUUUUCUUUUUUCAUUUUUUGUCUUUAGAUUGAAUAAAUCGAAUGAGAAUCAAAGGAUAUAAGGCAAGGAGAUGAGUGUAGAUAAAGAAAUGAAAGAGGGGAAAUCAAUUUCCUAUAAUAGAUAUAUCUCUAGAGAAAUGAUAUAGAGACUCUCAAAGUGUGGCUCUUCAUGAACUUUCCGUUACCUCAUAUUUUUAGCACAAUGUUUUAAGAUGUUGGCACAUAAAUUGUGUCAAAAACAUAAGGUAGCGGAGAGUACAUGAAGAGUCUCACUUUUCAGAGAGUCAAGCAUUUCUCGUAUCUCUAUUACCCCAUAGAAAACAAUACAGUGGGAUUAAUUAAUGAGACACACAUACACCCAAAUUCUUAUCUUUUCGUUUAGUAAAAUUAAUUUUGAAGUUGGUAAAUUACGCAAAAUCACACACAUUAAUCUCUAUAUAGUUUUACUUGCAAUUUGCUAUGCAAUAAGCUAUCAAUUAACAAUUUUUUGAGCAAUGCUAUUCAUACCAUGUUUUUAUACCACCUUAGGUGGCAUCUGAUGUGGACAGCCACAUCAUUUGAAAAAUUUGCAAAACCCAAGGAAAUGAAGAAGAAAGACUCCUCGUAUACCACAAUAAUCAUUUAGCUAACUAGUUUUUCUUAAUUAUUAAUUUAUUAAAUAAUGAACUAAAUUUAAAAAUCUGAUUAAUUCAAAUGAUGUGACUGUCCACAUCAAAUACCACCUAAGGUGGUAUGAAAAUGUGGUACAAAAACAUGGGAUGAAUAACAUUACUCUCCUUAAUGAUGACACAUCACGUGUUUUGCACCUAAAGUGGUAUGAAAAUGUGGUACAAAAACAUGGUAUAAAUAGCAUUACUCUCCUUAAUGAUGACACAUCUCGUGUUUUGUAAAUGUGGUCCAAAAAAUUGGUCUAUCUAGCGUUACUAAAAAAUUACUGAAAUAGAGUGCAUGGUGAUGUCUUCAUGCUACUAAGAUUCGGCUAGGUGGCCUAAGGUUUUGGUGGUGCUUGGCUCGAUCCCAAUCCCAAUCUAACUACUCUUGUAGGAGUAAUGCUGGGAAUUAAAUGUGAGGACUAAAUUUGUGAAACUAAAAUGCAUAAAAGUUGAUGACUAGAUUAUUAUUUAAGUGUUAAUUAAUAUGGUUAUUUCUUAGUGAUGACGAAUUAUUUAAUUUGCAAAUUUAAUUUACUUAGCAUUACUUUUGUAAUAUAAUUUACAAGGAGGAGAAAUAAACGGCUAGGUGGCUUAACGUGAGAGAUAAACGAGGAGAAAGAAACGGGCAGAGGGCAUUCAAAAUUUGCGUUCAAUCACCAAAAACACACACCAACAAGCUAAAUUUAACCCUCUUUUUUUAUCCCAACGAAUCAUCUGCACAAUUUCCUCUAUAUCCUUCAUUCUCUCUCCUUCCUUUUACCAGGAAGGGCAGAGACAGAGGCCAAUAAAGCCCUCUCUUUUCUUCUCCCCACACAAACAAAUUAAAAACACAAUUUGUUUGUGUACGUACGUACCCUAACCCUAAUACAACAGACACCAACGAUGGGAUUCAAGCUCAACCUGAUCGCCCUCAUGGUGGUAUUGGCCAUGGUAGCUAGGACAUCAGCCAAGGUCCACGAUGCCUCGUGGGGUUUCAGCCGCUUCGGUGAUCACGAUGAUGAGUCCUUGAUCAAUAGCGCCAACAGCAAAGUUGGCGACUUCAUCGGAGACGAGAAUGAGAUGAUGAUGGAGUCAGAGAGCACUCGUAGGACACUCAUAGGC
rnacentral:lncRNA from 1 species